rnacentral:lncRNA from 1 species
CAGUAUGUAUCGUCGGAGUAGCUAGCCGAUGAAUUAGUAGCUGUAGUUCUUGACGAACAUGCCCUCCUUGGCCUCGGCGGCCUCGCCGUCGGAGGUGUACUUGCCGAGCUGCGCCAGCGAGUUGGCCUUGGCGCGCAGCAGCAGCGCGUCCUGCGCCGCCUUGACGUUCUCCGGCACGCCGCCCCACGUCUUGAGGCAGGUGUUCUGCAGCGCCCGCGCGUAGGAGAAGGACACGUGCCACGGGUUGGGCCCCUGGUUCAUGGCGUUGAGGUUCUGCGUCGCCUCCACCUCCGACUGCCCGCCGGAGAGGAACAUGAUGCCGGGGACGGAGGGCGGGAUGCGGCGGUGGAGGAGCUUCAGGGUGUACUCGGCGACCUGCUCCGGCGUGGCCCGGUCCUUAGCCUCGGCGCCCGGCGUCACCAUGGAUGGCUUGAGCAGGAUGCCCUCGAACAUGACGUUGUUCUCCGCCAUGGCGUAGAAGGUCUCGGCCCACACCUUCUGCGCCACCUCGAAGGUCCGCUCGAUGCCGUGCUCGCCGUCCAGCAGGAUCUCCGGCUCUACGAUCGGCACAAGUCCGUUGUCCUGCUCGGUCGAUUCCAUUCCAUCGGUGUUAGCUUUUAUUAAUUAGCUGGAUGAACUAUCUCCAUGGCUAGAAGCAAGCAAGAAGGCGUACCUGCGAGAUGGCGGCGUAGCGGGCGAGCCCCCAUGCGGCCUCCUUGACGGCGAGCUCGGAUGGCCCGUUGGGGAUGCUGACGACGGUGCGCCACUUGGCGAAUCGGGCGCCCUGCUGGUAGUAGGCGGCCUCGCGGGCGGCGAGGCCGUCGAGGCCCUGGCACCAGGACUCGUCGUUGGAGCCGGCGAGCGGGACGAGGCCCUUGUCGACCUUGAUCCCGGGCACGAUGCCCUGCUCGGUGAGGAUGUCGACGAUCCGGCGGCCGUCGACGGCGGACUGGUAGAGCGUCUCCUCGAAAAGGAUGGCGCCGGAGAUGUAGUUGCCCAGCCCCGGCGCGGUGACCAGCAGCGUCCUGUACGCCUGCCGGUUGGCCUCCGUGUUCUCCAGCCCGAUGGAUGCCAGCCGCUUCCCGCACGUCGCGUUCGACUCGUCCAUGGCCAGGAUGCCGCGCCCAGGCGACGCGAUCGUUUUCUGCAACUCACCAUGUCAUCAUUAUUUCUUUCAGCAAGCAAGAUGGCGAUAGUGACAGUUUCGAUCGGCCACUAGUGAAGAAACGACGAACGCACCGCUGUCUUGACGAGCUCAUCGGCGUAGGCGCUGGCGCGGACGACCACGGAGACGGUGACCGGCCGGGGCGCGGUGAGCUGCCUGGCGGCGCCCCAUUCCGACUUCUUGGGAAGGAAGGAGGACUUGAGCAGGGUAGCAGAGGCCAUCUUCUUCUUCCUCGAUGCUCUUGCUGUCUUCUGAAGUUCAGCUCAGCUCAGGCUGGCAGUGGCCUCAGGUUCACACCAGUGAACAACGAAUGGAGUGUCUCCUUCCUUGGGGUGAGAGCUGCAGCCACAUCACAUAUUUAAGGUUUCUGCCAGGUAAACCAGUGGUGGCUGGACAAGGGAAGGAAGGAUAAAAAGACAUGCGUUGUGAGGCUGAGGUUGCUGCCCUCUGGAUUUCAGUGGAUGGAGUGGCUGCUUCUCACUGGUUCCCAUGGUCUCUUCAAAAGAGUAGGACCAUGCACGGUUAUCACCUCCUUUUUGUUUUGUCCUGAUCCGGAUUCCUGAUUCUAGGGAAGAUCUUUUCUGUGAUUUCCAUCCCAUUUUAACUGUGUGCUGUAAAAAAAUGACAAAAAGUUCAGAGAAAAAGGGACAGCUCAACUCUGGAAUCUUCGUGGCAGCUCAACCAUGGGAUUGCCUGAAUGUUGCUGGCCUCAAAAUUUCAAUAAGGAUCCCAGUUUAUUAUAUAUAUAUCUAUAAAAAAAAAGGAUCCCGGCUUUGGGUGAUGAGGCUGACAGGGAGGUUUCUGUGGGCGCGCCAAACCAGCAACUGUUGCCCGUAGAUGCGCGCCUGCGGUGGACAUCCAUCCAUCGAUUCCCACGGUUUGUCAUCGUGGUUUUCGCAGAACGCCGCGGAUUUCUUGGGGGCUUCUGGUGAUGCCAACGGCUGCAGCUACGAGUUGUUUGUUGCCAUGCGCGGUGUGGAGAGCUCUGCAGGCAAGCAAUGGCGAUCCAGGGGCGUCCGGUCAUGUCGCGCUCCUGCAUAUCAUCUGUCACAACACAUGAGACAUUGAUCCACGUAUACGGAAAUGGACGAACUGUUCUAAUCUGUCGUCUACGGAAAUGGACGAACUGUUCCAAUCUUUCGUAUACGGAAAUGGACGAACUGUUCCAACCUGUCGUAUACGGGAAUAGACGAACUGUACCCAUCUUUCAUUGGUUGUAUUCAAGAAAUUACUGGAUGGAGAUACACAUGAUUCUUUCCUGGACAACCAGAGCAAAUACCUGACAAAUGAUUGUAACCAUCCCUGAUAUUGUAAUGUGAAAAACAGAGAUUUUGAGAAAUCAUCAAUAAGAAAUAGGUUUGUGAUGAGAACAUGUUUACAAAUGGAUUGGUAAUUCAAAUGGACAGAUCUAGAUGCCUACCUUAUAGGACAACGGCAGUGUACACUGGAAACAAAAAUCAGUAAUGGUACAAACCUGAGAAUUAUCAACAACAUUCAUGACAAGACAACAGGACUCCUAAGUAGCAUCAUAGCACCUAAAUUUUGUUACACUUGUACCAUAGUAUGCUCUUUCCACUAACUACUAGUACCACUGCAGAAAUUUAACAGCUUUUUGGUGGGCAUUGGUAAUAGAUCAACUGCUCAAUUGGCAUAUGGGAGCAUCUGGAAAGCAGAAUCCUCUGAUACCAAUUAGCUCUCAGCGGGCUUCAAAAGUUCACCAAGAUCCACAUGCAAGCUGUUCCUCAUGGUCCGCCUUCCUGCUCCACCAGCAUUGCCCUUUCUCAUCAUCGCCACAAACUCGCUAUAAUCAAUUUGUCCAUCCUGAAAAAUGAUGCAUAAUAAUGAGACAAUAGGACAAGUAUGGAGAAGGAUUCAAAGAACAAGAGGGGUUAAGAAGACCAACAUUGUUUUGAUCCACAUCUUUGAUCAUAUCCUCAAGAUGAACAUCAGAAAGACCAAACUGUUGGCAUGCUUGCGAGAGCUCAUCAAUUGUUAUGAAGCCACUCCCAUCCUUGUCAAAGAAUGCAAACGCUGACACCAAGCUUUCCUCCCUCUCCAGUUUAUUCAUGUGCAAUGUAGCUGCCAAGAACUCUCCAUAGUCAAUGGUUCCACUGUUGUCAAUAUCAGCCUGAUAUACAAGACAAACCCAGAUUACAAUCUCAACGGUCCAUACAAUCAAAGGCUGCUACAGUGCAUCUAUUUUAUGUGGACAAUAGACUCGACGCAAUAGUAGUACUUACUGCAUCCAUUAAAGCCUGGAUUUCAGGUUCCAUCAGAUCCGACCCCACCCUUUUCAGACCGUUCUUCAGUUCAUCAUAAGUUAUCGUCCCACUGUUGUCAGUAUCGAUCAUUUUGAACAACUCCUUUAAGCCCCCGAUCUCCUCCUCAGAUAGGCUUUCAGCAAUCACCUGCACGAACAAAAAGAUUCAUCUGAAAAGAUCAAUUUCCAUGGUCAUUGCACAUACCAUCACCUCUUAUUAAACAUUUGCAACCUUAUGCCAUGCCUGUUAUGCAAGAAACCAGUUAAUCUAGAGUUCAAGCAAACAAUAUUGUAAAACCCCAUAGUGAAAAACCGAGCAUUAGUUGUUUUAGAAUUGUGUCAGACACUUAAGCCAAAACAAAGAACCUCUUCUCUUCCAACAAAAAGAAUCUGUUUUGAAACUCCUGGUCCCUUCAUUCCUUGCAUCAGAUGACCACUGACCAUACUGCCCAUGAAACCUCCUUUCCCAAAAUCAAAUGCUUCCUAAUGCCCUUAUCUGAGAACACUUGGUCAAAUCCGGUGUGCCAUUGCUGCUACCAAUGCAACACAGCCCCAGAUCUUAGCAUUUACUGCUUCCUGUCACUAAUAUUGAAAUUGUCCUCCCGAAUCAACAAACAAACAAGGACAACAAGAGGUGAACAUGACCAAGGCAUUGUUGAACUAAGAGGGUGAUGGUAGCGUAGUCACCAAGGUGGGUCAAUGGGUGGAACUAGACAUGAGAUGUUGGCAGUGCAAACCCCACUCAAUCAAGCAAUAGAAGUGCACAGUUGUAAUGUGUAAAACAAUGAGGUCCAGUCGCUAACCAGUUUGCAGCUCACCACCAUACAGAUGCUCACCACCUACAGUCACUCACCUUUCUGACAUCUUACCGUUGCUACCAUUAGUGGCCUCCUGCUGCUAGUGUCAAGCAGUCUUUAGCCAUGGGUUCAAUGGCUUUUGUGGUCGGUAGUCAUAGAAUACCAUGGCUGGCAUCCAGGUCUCGCACUAGUGCAGCUGAAGGGAUUGGAGACAACAGGGUUGGAUCUGGGAGGACUGUUCUUUUGGAAAGAAACAGGUUCUGUGAAUUGUAUGAAAGGUGACAUGUAGGCCAGCUUUUUUGUUUAUUGGGACUGUGUGAGUGUGUGACAUCGAUGGUUGGUGUGGCAGAACUGCCAUUAAAAAGAACAGGUGGCUAAAUGACUGGUUUCAAAAGCUUUGGUUUUUAAGCAGAUGUGUGUAAAUUGGGCUUUCUAAAAAUUAAAGGGGACAAAUACAGAUUUAAAGUGCACAAAAAAUCCAGUUAACAUGGAAAACCAGGAGAAAGAGAAAGGAAAAGAUUCAUAUGAAGUUAACUUGAGUGCACAACACAGUAGGCAGUAAGGCAGUGUCAUAAUAGAAAUGACGCACUGACCGUAACAUUGCGGUACUGAAUUUCGUUUGCAACAUAAUCACACAUCAAUGGGAUAAAAGUUCUUAUUUGAGAAAAAUGAAGUUCUUCUUACCCUCAAUGCCAUCUUCUUAAGCUUGUUCAUUGCAGAAAAGUUUUUCAGCCUUGACAAAACAGCAGAAUCAAUAGGCUUAUCAGGUGCGACAGCAUCAUCAACAAUCCAUGGAUGACCUGGCAUAGUCAAUGUCACCAUGUUUAAUAAGAACGAACUUCCAUGACCCAGGAGCACAAGCAUGCAUACAGAAUCUCAGACAGAGAGAGGGAGGGCAUGUAGGCAGAAAACUUACAUAGAACCUCAUGAGCAGUCAAUCUCUUCGUAGGAUCCCGGAUAAGCAUCUUACGGACUAGAUCUUUAGCACUAUCAGAGAUACUUGGCCAUGGUUCAGAUUCCAAGUCAAGUUUGCCUCGCAAAAUCUGCCUGAAGAUUCCAGCUUCACUUUCUGAAAGGAGGGGGAAACAGGAAGAUUUUACAUAUGGAAACAUGCUAAUAUCAGUAAACGACAAUCAAUCUCAACGUAGAAAUUCAAUGGUUGGAAUAACAAACAAUUUACCUGCCCAGAAUGGGGGUACACCACAUAGCAAAAUAUACAGAAUAACUCCAGCACUCCAGACAUCAGCUUCUGGGCCAUAGCAUUUCUGGAGCACCUCAGGGGCAACAUAAUAGGGGCUACCAACAACGUCAGCAAAUUUGUCACCUGGAGAUAUAGCAAGGAAUAUCUUUCAGUGUGUGUUCUGUUAAUCACUUCAAGCAAAACAGAAUAAACCACAGCAUUAACUGAAGACUUCAUUAAACACUACUUUAACCACAACACCACAUUUGUCACAAAAUCUGUUACAGUUCUACGAGAGAAGACAGUUCUUGCCAUCAACCUUGAAAGGCUUAUUGGCCUAUUGCUAUUGACAAGUAUUCUAGUUGCAACGCAGAUUUAUUUGUCCCCAGUACUAAUAUAUACUAGUUCUCAUGUUAGCAACAUUUUGACAGGGAUUCUUUAUAUUCUAACAAAAUGAGCCACAUAUGGAAAUGAAAUGUUAACAUGCUUGCUGGUGUAUCAAAACUAUCUAUGAAGAGCAGUACUCCCUACCAAACCCAAUGCUAGCAGUUAGCGCGCAUACCAUUGCCGCAUCAAGUGAACCAAAUAGCAACAUUGUACAGCACAAAUAUUAAACGUCAGCACAAACAAUUGCACAGAUACGCACCGGGCUUGUAGAACACCGAUAGCCCAAAAUCAGUGGCCUUGAGCGGGGCAUCCUCUGCAGUGCUCGCGAAGAGGAAGUUCUCCGGCUUGAGGUCCCGGUGCAUGACGCCGAGCGAGUGGCAUCCCUCCACCACCCCGACGAUCGUCCUGAUGAGCUGCGCGGCGGCGCGCUCGCUGUAGUGUCCCUUGGCGACGAUGCGGUCGAAGAGCUCGCCGCCGGCGCAGAGCUCCAUGACGAGAUGCACGAAGAGCGCGUCCUCGUAGGCGCCGCGGAUGCGGACGACGUUGGGGUGCUCGGAAAGGUGGUGCAUGAUCUGGAUCUCGCGCCACACGUCCUCGUAGUCCUCGCGGCACAGCAGUUUGCGCUUGGGGAUGGAUUUGCAGGCGUACUCGGCGCCGUCCGCCUUGCCCACGCACUGGUACGUGGUGCCGAACUGCCCCUGCCCCAGCUUCUUCCCGAUGCGGUAGUGGUCGCGCACGUUGUCCGUCUUGUGCGGCAGCACCGACGCCGGCCGCCCCGCCGACCCCGUCGUCACCGGCGGCGGCAGCCGGGCGUGCGCAUUGGCGCCGCCCGCCUUUCCCCUGCCCGGGCCUUGCGGGUCCGGCUGCAUUUCCUUUCGCCGGCGGUGAUUCCUCCCCGGAUCAAGAACCGUAACCGUACGGACGGCCUGCCCUUCCUGGAAAAAACCGCGGCGAGGCUCGACGAAUUCGCACCGUCGACCAAUCAGAAAUGGAAACCUUUUCCAAUUCCGGCUACUAUUCUGGGAGCUUUCCGGGGAAAUCUACACGGAUUGGAACCGAAUAACUCGAAGGAUUGGAUCUUGGCGUGGGGGGCUCUCGCCUUUGGGGAUUCCUGGGGAAAUGGCCGACGAAUUGGGCGCGACAGAGGAGCUUUAGCGGAGGUUUAUGCGGCCGCGCAGGCCGAAGAACAGAGGAGAAACGCCAACAGGAAGGCGAAGAUGAGGAGCAACGGGAUUGCUCUGUUCUUCUCUCCCCUCUGGGAUUGAUGGAUUGGUUCCUGCGGGGGAUUUAAGGAGAGGUCACAUGCCAAGGUUGGAUUUUUCCUCCAUGUGAGGGUGGAAAUCUACACGGCUAGGUUUGGUGAUUGCUCGGGCCUUGGAUUGGGUCUACAAAUGGGAACGGAUCGCUAGGGCAUGUGGGGGAGCAUGUCGGUGGUUAUCGCCUUCGCCUCCCUUCGCGAGGAGAGAGCGCAGAGGGGGGAGGGGGGAGGAGAGAGGAGGAAGACAACGUGGUCGGAAACUACCCCUUUCCAUUACUUUUCUAUUUCUUUUAUUUAUUUAUCUAAUAGUUUAUCACUACAUUGUUGGAGCUUCUGUUUAAUAUACUAAAAUUUUUGUAUCAUCUUUUUAUACAAAUAUACUGAAGUUAUCUGAAAACUUGAAGGUCUAUUUAGGGCACCCUUAUUAUCAAAUUAAUCGUGGCACGUCGUCAGGAUUCGAAAUUAUUUCCAUAAUUUGUUUUCAGUUGGUAAGAUGCUACGUUAGCACAAUUAUCCAAUCCUACGAGGUGCCAAUAAUGGGAAAACUCAUCUACAACUAGUUCAUCAAUUAUGAUAGGCGUCGAUCACCAAAUUCCCAGCUUAUCCAAUUUGAGGCUGUGGGACUAUUGCUAUGCAGGACUGUAGGAGUAUGGCAAGAAACUCUCCAACCUCUCAAUGAGGCCUCCGUUCAAUUAGACUGAGAGCUCAUAUCUCACCGGGCCCUAUCAUGAUUGUUGAAGGCAAUGGCAUGCUAGUGCUACAAUACAAUAUGCACAUUUCUUCUAAUGAGUUGCCACUCUUUGGCACAUGUCCUUGUACAUUUUCACCGAUCAGACAUUGCAAUGUUUUCUUUCGUGAAAGUGGCUAGGUGUUAAAAAUAGUAAUCUUGUUGGGCCUGUUGAUUAAUUAAAACUUAUUUGACAAUGAAAGCCAACCUGCGCAAAGACGAAAAUGAAGCCCAUUUGCCAUGGCACUGGUAAGUCCUGACCUAUCUCGAAAGAUCAUUUCCGUGGGGGGUACCGUACUAUAGUGGUAUGGAACUACCACUUUUGCAGACGCAUAUCCUAAUGAUUCCUUUUAAAAUUUUGCAGAGAUGCAUGAGAAGGAAGGUGCCAAGACGUGCAAUGGGAUGAACACUAAUACUAAACAAAGACACAACACGCAUGUAUAAAAAUAAAAUCUAAAACGAUAGUGAAAGCCGUUCAUUUUCAAUGGGAUAACAUGCGUCCCCACUAACCACGCAUUGAUCUAAUGAUCUCCUUGUCGUCUUUGACUUUUUGCACCAAACUCUUGGGCAAGUCUUCCGACGAACAAAAGCGUUAGAAAACAUUGCAGAUAUGAUAGGACUCUGUCCAUAACCUUCUGAAAUUGAUGUUGCCUGCUUACACGAAUAAAAUGCCAAAUAAGCAUAGUGACCCGUCUUGAUUUCUGUUCAUGUAUACACUGUACUACAUUUGUCAAAUUAAUCUUCGAUGUUGCUCCAAGUUUUAAGCCAGCUAGUGUUCUAACAUGUUAAUCAUCAUUAGGCUUGCGGUCUCGUCUGUGUUCUUUUCCCUUUUGAAAUUAUAAUGCCAGGUGGCAAUAAUGAACAUAAAAAAACAAGAGCACAUUAUUUUGUGUGUCGAUCAUACCCAACAGUCAUGAUGUAAUUUAUUCCCCAUCAUCUCAUAGCCUCUUUUUAUUAAAAAAAAAAAGUGUGUCAAGUUAAACGAAUCGUGAUGCGGACAUUUGGAUAUCAUCUUGAUCGUCGUCUCUUCAAGGAAAACCAUAAUGCGAAUACUGGAGUGGUUGCUCGCAUUUUUUUUCUGAAUUUAUUUCAUGAAAAAGGAAUAGUUAUACCAUCUUCAUACAUAAAAGAAUUAUUAUUGUUUUAUUUUUUGAAAACAUAAGAGAAGAACCAAUGCUAUAGCCAUGACUCACAAAUUACAGGACGAAGCUGAUUUCAACGUAAGUGUAGAAUUUACUGUAAGAAUUACCACUUCUCUUUUGGAUUGGGGCAUUGGGCUGUGCAUUGGCAACUACGAGGCAGUCAGGUAGAGAUUAGUUAAAUAUCUAAUCACCGAUCAGUGUGAAUUAACUUUAUUAAUCUCCACUUGAACAAAGGUAGCCGACAUCAGCUUCGGCAAAGUAACAUAAACAAAGGGAAGCCAAGUCAGAACCAUUGCCUGUUCUCUGCGAGGGUUAGAGAGAAAAACAGCCAUUGCUAAAAGCAACAUGCCAUAUGAAUGGGUCAUGGAUUUAUCAGGAGGCACUGCCAAGAUCGUCAUGCCUCUCUUUUUUACGCUCAGGAAUCAUACCAAACCAUAUCAAGGAUAAAUUCUUUGCGCACAUGGCUCAACAGCAACAGAGAGAGCAAGAUAUGCUCUUUGGAGCUCUACUCUACAUUGCCACAAUUCCUUGCUUCAAAAAAACAUUACCAAAAGUCCAUUGUCAGUCAGAUUCAUGCUCACUAAUAUAUUUUUAACAUAUUUGACCGCGCAGUUUGCAAUCAGCCUAAUGGCCAAGUGGAGGAUGCUUUUUUUUAAGAGCAAUGCAAAUGGAGGAUUUUAUACAAAUUUGACCGGUCAAGCCUGAUGAAUCAUUCACAUGAUAGCUUCCUUUGACCAUAUGAUGCUAAGUUGCUAGCCACUGACCAAGAUUCAGAAAAUCGAAACCUGAUCUGGACAUGCUACGGUGUUGACAUUCCAGGAUAUUAUCAUGCGACUCCAGGAAAAACACAAAAUAAAUAUGAUAAAUGGUUCUCAUAAUCCUACAGCUGUCCUGUUCAUAGUGUUGAUCAGACCUUCAAACAUCUCUGAACAGCAUAAUUCAGCUCCCAGAAAAACAACCAGUGAUCCACUUGAUUCCACAGCUGUCCCAUAGAUUUAUUUUGCUCAGAAUCUAUAAACAAGUCUGCAGUCUUGUGUCUAAGGAUGAGGAGGAGAAGGAUAGAGAUCAGACUGUUCUCAUGGUUCCAUGAACCCCACCAACCAGCACAUUUCUUUCCAUGUGGGUUGCUGCAACCUUGGAUGAUCAUUGCCACAAGUGCAUCGAUGCAAUGGUACAUGCCCUUGACUGAUGCCAUUACACCCUGCCUCCUAGUGCACUGACAAUAACAGCCAGAUCAAAACAGGGGCAUAGGGUUUUGUUUGCAGUCACAUGCAAAAUUAUUCCUCUGGUUGCAGAAGUGAGAAGGGGACCAUGUAUGAUGGUCCUGGACUAAAAUGGAUCCUGCAACUCUAAUGAGGCUCAGCCCAACAAAAAAGUUUUUUUAGAGCUAAACAGGCUCUCCUGGAGCUCUAAAGAAAUAUCAAAUAUAGGUGGCUGCAUCAAUCCUAGACUAAGAUCGCAAUUUUAGGAGUGACUUUUUUUUAAUGUAUUUCAUAGCACUAUUGCAAGCCAGAUUUCCUGUCCUUAAGCCAGCAUUCUGCCAUAAGUCAACAGAAACAAAUAGCUUGCUUCAGAAACCUGGUUAUGGAGAACCAGUGGCCUCACCUCAGAUGAAGGCAACCCAAGUCCUACCUUUGAAUGCCAAUUGGAGAUUUUUAACACAUCACAUUAUGAACAAUAUAAGUAAUUUCAUGAGACACUGCACAGAUUACAAACAUAAUGUGGGUUCUUUCUCCCCUAGUUUGCAGAUGUGUAUAGUACAGUUUCUUGACUUCCAACUUGGAGUGAUAUUAUAUGACAUCAUACCUCCUCAAGUUUGAGUUAUUGAUUCUUGAGACAAAAGUUAACUGUUCCAGAUUUUUUUUCCUUCACUAACUUAAUUUAAGAUCCAGAUUGGCCUACAUAAGCAAGACUGUAGUUGCUUUUUCCUUUUUAAAAAAGAAUGUUGUUAUUUCAAAGCUUACGAAGGCAGUAAGUUUCCAGAGUUAUCGACAGUAUCCACAAAACAGAACAAGGGCACGAUAAAUAAAGUAAAAGGAGACAUGGUUUCAACACCACGCAUGUUUGUGGAGAAGACAUGACAGAGGAGAUUAAGCACACAACAGUAAGAGUUGAUCAUGCAUUGUGCAUGCCGGUGGUUUCAUUCUCUAAAUCAGAAGGUGUGAUAUACUGCCAUACAAGACCUAGUGUGCUACCCAUUAUGUUCAUGAUGACAGCUGAGAGUGCAGGUGGCAGGGAAACCAAGGGUGAGGAGAAAUGUGCAGCUGCUAACACUACCCCUAAGGACGAAUUUUGCAUUCCUACCUGCAAUCCAGAGAAAAAAGAAGGCCAUUGAACAUUUUUCAUCGUAUUCAAAUUAAGUCUCUUAAUCAUAAUUCUGAAAGACAAUCAGGUAGGAAGCAUUCUAAAAAAAUAAAACAUGGUCAAGGCAACAGAAUUAUGGUUUUAAGAUUUCUGAUACUAUGAUUGGAAUUUGUAACAGUCUGCCAGUACUAAUCCCUACAUUCACAAAUAAGUGAUGUUUUUAGACAACACGUGCAUGCAAAAAAAAAUUGCAGCAUUGUACACUAUUUUCAACAUAUACUUAUAAGGGCAAGUAAAUUUAUACACAUUAUGAAAGUACUUUUCAAGAUAUAAGGCCAAUAUGAACAGUGGUGGAGGGUAGUGGAGGCCAAAAGGGGCCAUGCACCCCCCUUCACCCCGGCAUUGAUGUGAAGCUCCGCUACUGAAUAUGAACAUUCAUAGGGACACCAAUAGCCCAAGUUUACGAUAUCCAAGUGCAUGCAUACCGAAAUGCCACUUAUUUUUUUACUAGAGCAGAAGGGUACUUGAGUCAUAGCCUCAUAGGAGAGGACUAAUUUACACAAUCUGUUGACUGAUAAUCUGAUGUUUGUGACUAGUCAGCUACUCAAUCCUCCCAAGUACUUUACACCUCUUAAUAUGAAAUGCUAGUGUGCUGGAAGACUUGCUUGGUUUGUUUAUUUUAUUAUACACAUGGUUUCAACAAUGAAUAUGCUUCUUCGUUUUACUGGUCAUAUUAAUUGGGAAAUAUGGUUAGAUCUGGUCAGGAUCCAUACCUCAAUUGAUAUUGCUCUCCUUUGUUUUUCUUUCAAACCACUUAUAGCUGCUGCUGUAUACCUGUUUGUUAUAGAGCCAACUAAACAAUUAGACAUCUGGAUGACAAAUGUCAGUAACUUGUAGCUUACUGAAUUUUGAUGGUUCACACCAAGUUCUGUUCUACUAUACUCUUUUUUUAAUGAAAAAAAACCAUAAGAUACAAAAUUUGUGAAUUGCAUCACACAUAAAAGGGUACAGUAUGCAUUCUUGUGCUCACCCAACAAAGAAACCAGCAAAAUGCAGCAAGGAGACAGAGAGCAUGACAACUCCGAUAUCCCCAGAGAAGAAGUUUCCAUUCACAGAAGAUGCAUCAGCAAUUGUUGAACUUAGGCGUACAAAAUUCUCAGAGAAGACACUGUAACAUUGAAAGAUAAAGGGUAAAAGGAUGCACGGUUUCUCCUAUUCCCAAGCCAAAAUAACAUGGCAAGUUUGAAGGAUCUGAACCUGCAAGCCAGAAGCGAUGAAGCCAAGACUGCCAUCAGAGGUGCAAAAGGAGUCACAAAUUGAACUAUCGAUGGGAAUGCUGUUUGUAUAGAAGAACCUAAUAGAAUUGGGGCAACAACCACCUGAAGAAGGAAAAAAGAUCAGAGACAGACAAAACUAACUAUGAGUAAAAUCUUGCUAUGAACUAAUGGCGUCAGAAAUUUCACCUGCAAAGUACUGAGAGAAAGCUUAACAGCAUCCACAGGAAUGUAAGCACCAGCUAGAACUUUUGUUAAGAGAGGGGUAAGGAACACAGCAGCAAGAGUGCUGCAGACAGUCAUCACGAUGGAUAACGGAACAUCGCCUUUAGCAACUAAAGUCACCUGAACCACUAUAGGAAACAAUUAGGUCAGUGCAUAGGAGGACACAUCUAGGAGAGAAGGAUCAUGAGGCAGAAAAACGGAACUGCUUAUAACUGUUAACAAAUCGAAACAAUUUUUCAAUUUUCCAGAAGUUUGGUAGCAUUGUCCUGUAAAUAGGUGAACAUGUACACUUCUGUAGGCAACAUAAAAAAGGAUCAAGUGUCAGUGCAUGUCGGAACAUCAGACGUUGGCUUCUCCAGAAGCUAAAACAACCAAGUACUCAACUCCCAUUUUUGUUUCAAAAAAAAAAGGUACUCAACUCCCAUUUCAAUGAACAAAUGCAUCUGAACUCUCAAUUGCAUAGCCAUUCUUAAUUUAGCCCUUCAAGCAAUCAGUUCACUUGAGUACAUAACUGGCAAAGUUAAGUUCACUAUAAAACAAUAAUACUAAAGGGGAAAUCCACACUCUUAAUAGAAAUACGGAGCGUGACAAACUGAAUUCAGCUGACAAUCUUACCACAUUGGAUGCAGUUCCACCAGGACAGCAUCCUAGCAGGAUAAGGCCUGCAGAGAGGGAUGGGGGGAGCCCCAGCGCGCGGCUAAUGAUCGCCCCAAACACAGGCAUUACGGUGUACUGCGCGGCGCACCCAAACAAUAUCUGCAGCACAGAGACGAACCAAGAUUGCAAUGGAUCGGCAAUUCGGCAUGGAGCAAAUGCCAUCAAUCAGAGGAUCAAGCUUCUAGGAAGCAAGGAAGGGAUGGGUUUGCACCGGUCACGUACGGAGAGGGGCCUGUCGCGGAGGAGUGCGGCGAAGUCCCUGAGGUUGAGGGUGAGGCCCAUGGCGAGCAUGAUGAAGCCGAGCGUGGCGGUGUACGACCCCGGCGCCAUGUCGACAAACCACCGGAACGCCUCGGGCCGCGCGACGGCGACGGAGGCGCCCGCCGUGACGUAGGCCGGGUACAGCCCGGCCGCCGUGGCAAGCGCCGCGUGCCACCGCGGCGCGGGCGGGGGCGCCGGCUCCGCGAGGCAUUGGACUCGUCGGAGGGCGGAGGGAAGGCGCCGGCGCUUGGUGAAGAGGAGAGGGAGACACGGCCGUGGCACCGGCCGGGAUACCGAUCUCGCGGACGGGAGGGGGCGGAGGGAUACGGGGAGGAGGAGGGGAGCCAUGGCGACGGUGCCGCGGCGGUUUGUCUUUAUCCGGUGCGCGCGCGGAGCGGUUGGGGGCGGCCACGACCGCACGAGUAAUAAAGUGUCAAAGUGAAGUGUAGCACAGAUUUUUAUGGCACGCAGCGUCCGAAGGCGGAUUUUUGGAAUCUACGUCUUCGCUGCGUCGAGGCUGGUUUCACGGCUCUUGCCUAGUGGGAAAGAAUCUACGUCUUCGUUUACUAUGCCCUGACCAAGCAAGCCGUGGAGUAGUGAUGAAAGAUGUCCAGGUAUACAAGUAUAGUAAGAUGUGUCCAUUUUGCUGAACUAUAUUGCUACAUGCAAAGACAGCGCAGUAGUGUUUGCCUCUUGAUGCCACGCUGCAUACAAAGUACGUUGGAAACCUCACUAGCCAUUUUGCUAGUUGAAUUGGCAUAUGGAGGAAAUUGCAUAUACUGAUACACAAUUCUGUUUUGCGAAAAAAAUGCAUACACAAUUCUAGCGUGAUACUCUAUAAACAUAACAUAAAGAGCCGCCUCUUCUGUUGAAUAACGGGCCGUAUCAGCGAUGAAAUUUUGUUUGCACAAGCACAAUAUUGAUCUAACUAAUGUGAAAUUUAUUUUCACAAUAUUGAUCUACCGCUGGAGUAGUCGGGUACAAAUAUUUCCCUCGCAUACGACGCCUAAUUAGCAUUGAGGUACACCGAGUUACUUAGAUCCUGUUUCUAAAAUUUUAGCUGGUUAAAUUUAACUACUAAGGAUCCAAACAGGUCCAUCUAAAACUCAGCUUAAACUUUAGCUACAACCCAGAAAUCUAACCUAGAAAUCUUGCGGUCCCCGCGAGAUUUUGAGCUAAACCACCUAAAAGUGGUGAAAGACCGUAGUAAUACCUAGUGUUCAGCGUACUUACCCACCGCCACUGCAGUAAAUGCUCCCCCCUCCCCCGUUCGCUCGAUCCCAUUAAAGAGGCAAACAGAGAAGAGCAGCAGGUCUUGGCACCCGGGAAAAUGAUGCUGGCGCCAACAAAUCGAGCAGAUGAAGGGGCAAUUAGAUGAAGGGUAGUAUGGUCACAAAUUAGCAAUUAGCUGGAGGAUCCAAACUUUAGCUAGUUAAAAAGGGCAUGUAUCGUUAAACUUUAGUUGGAGCGGAUCCAAAUAGGGUCUAAGAUUAUGUUGGGAGACCCCUGCUAAAAAUUACUCCCUUCAUUCCAAAUUAUGAGUCAUUUCAACUUUUUUGAAGAGAUAAAUUAUUUUAUGUUUAACUAAAAUUACAGAGAAGAUCACAAAAAAUUAUGACAGCGGAUAGAUAUACUAUGAAAAUAUAUUUAAUGAAGAAACUAAUGGUAACUAUUUAGUAUCAUGAAUGUUAGUACUUUAUUGUAUAAAUUUGGUCAAAUUUAAAAUAUUUUGACUGUCAAAAAAUUAGAAUAACUUAUAAUCUGAAAUGGAGGGGGUAACCGCUAAAAAUUAGCCGGCAGGCUCCAAACGGGGCAUCUAAAAGCCGUCUAAUUUUUAUCCAAGUGCCCAGCUCGUUAGCUGCUUCAGCCGAGCUAAAAGCAACUAAAAGCGACUAAAAGCUGCUCACGGAUGGACAAAGACCCAAAUGCCCUCACAUGCACAGCACAGGGAGGGGGGCAAGAGCGCCACACGGGGGACUAGGCUUUUUGCCUGGCUACCCUUUAGUCCAGGUUGGGAUGUUUGAAUAUGAGGUGUUAAACUUUAACAGUGUCAUAUCAGAUGUUCAGAUGCUAAUUAGGAGAAUUAAACAUGAGCUAAUUAUAAAACUAAUUGCAGAAUCCUGUGCUAAUUCGCGAGAUGAAUUUAUUAAGCCUAAUUAAUCCAUCAUUAGCAAAUAGUUACUGUAGCACUACAUUGUCAAAUCAUGGACUAAUUAGGCUUAAUAGAUUCGUCUCGCGAAUUACACUCCAUAUGUGGAAUUAAUUUUAUAAUCAGCCUAAAUUUAAUACUCCUAAUUAGUAUCCAAACAUCUGAUGUGACAUGUGUUAAAUUUUAACACCCUGUAUCAAACAGCUAUGCACUAAACUUAGCUAGCCAAACAAGGUAUAAGUGAAGUACACUAUACGCAGCUAGCAAACAGGGUCUAAGUGAAGUACACUAUAUGCAAAGGAUGGACACUUGCAUAAUCGAUCAUGUGAUGCCACUGUCAUAGGCAUCUGCGCACGCUCGUGUACUAAGGGUGUGUUUGGUUUGGAGACGAGAUGGGAUGGGACGAUCCUGUCCCCAUUUUCAUGGAUGGGACGGUUCCAUUUCAUGUUUGGUUGAGAAGGAUAAGUCCAUCCUAAUUUUUUAUUUGGCACGAGGGAUCGAGAGGAUGGGAUGGAUAACGAUUUUAACACCGUUAGACACAGUAAAUAGACCCCACCUGUCAAUGGACCCUAUUUGUCAUUGUCUAUCUAUUUUUUUCAAUUAUCUUCUUCCAUCUCCAUCUCCUCCUCCAUCCCCAGCUUGCUCGAGCCGCCAGUCGGGGAGCAGCUCGCUCGGCCACGCCAGCCGCACUCGAGCUGGCCCACGCCGCCCGUGAGCUCCAGCUCGCCCGCACUAGCCGUGUCAGAGGUGUCAGAGGUCACAUACCUGUGGCCGUUGCCGCUGACUCGAUUCACUCCGCCGUCGUCGAGAUCCAAGCUCGCCAGAGCUCGUCGCCGUGGGCCUCUGCUCGCCCCGCCGACCAUGGAGGGCGCCGCGGAGCUCACCCGCCGCCGGCCCUUCACGCUCGCCCCCGCCGACCCUUCCCGCGACUGCGUUGAAGUGGGACAAUCCUAUCCGCUCGUUUUGAGCCAAUUGAGUCGUCCCACAUCUGCACCGAAUAUUCCACUAUAAAUGGACUCGUCCUGUGCCUCCUAACCAAAUACUAGCCAAGACUAUCCUAUUCAAUCCCGUUCCAUCCUCGAAACCAAACACACGCUAAACAAAUCGAGCGAGCGGGCACGGGCAGCAGAGGCAGCAACGCAGGUGAGAGGUGAGGUGACGAGCAGCAGCCAAGAGGAUGGAUCGGGACUCUCGAGGUCGAGGGGGGCAAUUAUUUACCCCUCCCCCCCGCCUCAUCGUACCUGCCCCCGCCUUGGUCCCCGGCUCCUUCCUCCUCAUCGUACCUGCCCCCGGUUCAUGGUGACGACCUCCGCCGACGCCUGCUGCUCCUCCGGCUCAUCCUCUUUUGGUAUGUCACUGGCGACUCGCACGCUUGAGCUUGAGGCGAUUCCUUCCUGGCAAGGGUGUCUCGCUUUUGUUUUGCUUGAUUCUUCGAGAGGGCGUUAGUUCUGUCUUGAGAUCUCGACAAGAGGAACGGAUCGGAUGUUCUUGGUACAAUUAAGGAAAAUUUGGGUUUGCGACACUGAAAGAUCCAUGUUUUAGAAAUUUACCAGCGAACUGAUGUGGUACGCUUUAAUACCAUUGAAAAAGAUUCCACCUGUCAAGAAAUAUACCAUUCCGUGACAUUUUUCAUCCAUCCCACGUCAUCUCCGUUAUUUCCUGUUCAUCUUCUCCGUCUCUGGCGCAAGCGCCGCGCCCAGGUUGUUGGCGGCAGCCCGCAGGCCGCCGUGCCUCAACCUACUCAACCCAUGGCCACGCCUCACAUCAGCUCCACCUUGCCCCAUAGCCGCGCAACAGUUUGGCUUGGCCGCAGGCCGCCGCUCUGCCCGCGCAUCAACCCACUUCUUCGCCCCCAGCUCGGCUCGGCCACUGCGCCCAAGCUAGCUUCCAGCCAUGGCUGCCCCAGCUUGGCUACGCCAAAGUCCGCCGGGAGCCAACUGUGUCCCGUCACACGGCACCUCUCCCCGUCGGGCUCAAGUACAUUAUGUCACCUGCAGAGGAGCUGAAUGGAUUCGUGUUCCAUUGAGGAUGAAGCCGAUUUAGAGCUGGGCACUGAGGAUUUGCAGCUCGCUGCCUGCUACUGCUGUAGUACAUGCCAUGGCAAGGGAAUUAGAUCCUGCAGUGGCAGCACCCAGACCCAGCACGCAUCAGCAAGGGCCCUUCACUUCCUGACCAAUGAAAGCAGCAAGCACAUGCGGCUCGCCGGCUCCUCUGGUUUGGUUGGAGGGGGAGCAGCUCCUCCGUUCACUGGUUGGAGAGAGAAGAAAGGUUGAGAGCCAAACGGCAGAAGGAAGAGAAAUAGUGAAGAAACGGCAGUAUGGAUGGAAAACGUGACCGAGUGGUAAAAUUCUAAACGGCGACAUCUGUUGAUGGUAUUAAAGUGUACCGGAAUGAUUCGAUGAUAAAUUUCUAAAUCAUGAAUCUUUCGGUGUCACGAACCCAAUUUUUCCUACAAUUAAAGGUCCUGGUGUUCUUCUCCCAUCAAGGAGAUCGAUUGGCUUUAAGACGACCAAGCCUUUCACCCCCUUUCUUUUAUUAUUGUGCCGUCAAUUUUCGUGAAAUCUUUGGCUCCUCUGAACCAAAGAUGGCCCCUUUAUGCAAAGGUCAGUUUUUUUUCCUCCUACGAGGCUACAAGUACAUCAUAGUGUGCAGUAAUUAGUGGUGAAGUACGGUCUCUACCCAAACUACAAAUACUCCAGCUUGGAGUACAUCAUGGUCUCAUUAGUACGACCGCACUGCUUGGAGUGCUGAGCUAACUUGUUGGAUUAGUGGAGUGUUGGAAGUUUGGUACCAUUUAUCUUCAUCUGGCAACAAAACAAUCUGAGUAAUCAAAUAUGCUAAUUUCUUUGUUUGCUCCUCUCUUUGCCUUAGGACCUAACUCGUCAUCUGAAUUACACUUGAAAAUUUUAUAAGUACCUGCCUCAACCUCUUGGGCUGUGUUGAAAUUUUCUACAUGCUGUUUAUACCCAUCAAUCAGCUAAUACGUUGAGCCUAUAUAUGCACUCGAGCAUCUGCGAACCAUGAAUGCUCAAAUCUGCAGGUUGGUUGGUUCUAAUGGUCUUUCAUUUGAACUCUUCUUUUUUGCAGAGUGCAGACUAGAGUCUCCCUCUGAAUUCAAAAGCGAGAUUUUUUUUGGAAGUUGAUCGUAGAUGGAUCACAGUCAGAACCACAUCCAUGGCCAAUCUGCUGCGAACUUCUGCUACCAGUUCGGUUCAGACAAUCCGUUCCUUGGCAUGGGAGUUCAGCAACCAUUUGCGUCAUUCACCUCGCCAUUUGGUGCCACUCCAUCCACCAACAUUCCCCACAUGGAUUGGAACCCGGCUACCAUGCUAGACAACCUUACCUUCAUUGAGGAGAAGAUUCGGCAAGUGAAGGAUGUAAUCCGUACAAUGGUGGACGAUGGUGGCCAACGCCCAGGGGAGCUCGCUCAGCAGCAGCAGGUGGUCAAUGCAGACCUGACAUGCCUCAUUGUUCAGCUCAUCUCUACUGCCGGUAGCCUUCUCCCAUCACUAAAGAACUCGACCUUUCUGAGCCACCCCCAAGCUGGACAUAUGGGCAUCGUUAACCAUGUUGGGUCGAGCUCGAGCUUCGUUCCUAAUGUGACAACCAUUUCUGAAGAGAACAAGGAGGAAAUGUGUGGCCCUGAGGACUACGAAGAACUUUUCAAGGGUUUCACUGAUGGCGCACUGGAAGGAGGCAUUGAAAUUGGCAAUGUUCUUGUCGAGGAGCAGGAUGCAAAGGAUGGCGAUGAAGGUGGUGAUGUUGGCAUGGAUGGAGAGAGCUUACCGCCGGGCUCUUAUGAGUUACUGCAGCUGGAGAAGGAUGAGAUAUUGGCCCCACACACGCACUUCUGCUCCAUCUGCGGAAAGGGUUUCAAGAGGGAUGCGAAUCUGCGAAUGCACAUGAGAGGGCAUGGUGAUGAGUACAAGAGCCCUGCCGCACUAGCCAAGCCACCUAGAGACGCAAGCGCAGAGCACGAACUGGUGAGGAGGUACUCUUGCCCAUUUGUAGGCUGCAAGCGGAACAAGCUGCACAAGAACUUCCAGCCCCUCAAGACGAUCCUGUGCGUGAAGAAUCACUACAAGAGGAGCCACUGUGAGAAGAGCUACACCUGCAGCCGGUGCCACACAAAGAAGUUCUCGGUCAUGGCCGACCUCAAGACGCACGAGAAGCACUGCGGCCGGGACAAGUGGCUGUGCUCGUGUGGAACAAGUUUUACAAGGAAGGACAAGCUUUUCGCACACGUAGCUCUGUUCCAAGGACACACCCCGGCGUUGCCAACAGAGGAGCCAAAGACUUCUUCAGACCAGAUCAGUCGCGUAGGGAGCCACCAGGAACCAGCGAAACUCCCAAGCUCCAUGGGCAGCAGCUUCGUGUGGGGUACCUCCUCAGGUAAUGAAAAUGCCCUGGAUAUCAAAGGGGUCGAUGGCUGCAGCGAUGACUUCCUCUCGACAGCGAACUUUGGUUCCUUCAAUUUCAGUUUCGGGCCAGCUGAUGGAUUUACAGGAGAGCCUUCUGGCAGCUCAUUCUCAAUGCUGCCUUCUGAGCACUUCCAGAGUGCUCAAAAGAAGGGGAAGAACUAGACAUAGAUAAUCUCGGGAAGCUUCAGAUAGAAUUGAUGGUCAGCUUCAGAUGGACCAUAAUCAUUGCUCUUGUUUUGCAUCAUUUUCCACUGUAGUAUAACAUCACCUUUUCUUCCAUGGCAUUGUACUUGGCUUCGAAGUUCUCGCGGUCAUGUUCCUAGCUUCUUGUAUCCUGUGAACUACUCUUAUUAUUCCUAGUCUAUUGAGCUUCCAUCUUGCCUCCUAUGUCCAAUGUGCGUGAAUGAUUGAUUCCUACCGUUAAAUACUUUUUGAGGUAGCAACUACAGUGCUUCUGAUUAGCAUCCCCACUUCAAAGUAGUAUCAGUCAAUGAGACUGCUGAUAUCUUAAGAGAUAUGUGUGCAGAAAAAGUGAUGAGGAUUUUUAUCACAUUCUUUUUUCAGCUAUUAUGUUUAAUACAGUAACAUGAACAUGUUUGGAGUCUAAACCGUGCCUUCAUUGCUGGAGUGCUGCAAAGCACAUGGUGAUGCUGGAGCUGGAAAAGCAUGGGAAGCAGUUAGCCACUGAUCUUUUUCAGUUACCUUUGCAUAACGUAUGAGAGCCUGCAAUUUCUUUUGCUGUGAUCUGAUCUCUCUGCUAGUUGUUUGACCUCUUGGGAAUCUGGUGCUAUCUCACAGACUGACAGACAAGAUCAAGGAUUCAGGGAUCGCCAUGUUAGUGCCUGACCAAGCAAGUAUCAGCGUACCAUGGGUUAUGAGCAGUCUGCACCACGGAAGCACAUGCCAUGUGGCCUGCACGCUCGUGCAGCCCACGAUCUGUCGAUCGAUGUGCGUGCAAGUUAUCAGGGUGAUGCGUGGAUCGAUGCCACACGAUCUCGUGUCAGUCAGGCCGCGAUUCAUUCUGCCCCUUUACGGAGCCAAUUGGCAACGAGCAGGUGUAUGAGCAUCACUAUACAAGUUGCUUUAGAGCAUCACUAUCAAGUAUAAAAACAUCCGAAACCUUCCCCCGUGAUAUGAGUAGUAUACAUGAGUAAUACGGUUAGUAUAAGGGUACCAUGGUAAAAGAACAUAAAUGAAAUUACUAUAAUUUUAUUUUUGACACUAGCAUAAAAUUUAAAAGACCAUUCCAUUUGAAAUAUCACUUUUUACUAUGUAAUAAUUACUAAAUUAUCCAUAAUAAUGAAUAAUUAGAUCUUAUAUAUACUAUAUACCACUACCACUAAGUAAUAGUAUUAUGUACCGUAAAAGAGCUCAAGCCUUUAACCUGGUCUUAAGGAAAGAGAAAAGGAUAAGGUGCAGCUCAUGUGCGGAAAGAACGUACCUGCCAAUGCAGUAUAUGUGAUUUUCAUUUUCGGUCUACUCCACGCCUAGCAGCUGGAGAAACUCUGCAUAACCAUCACCGGUAAGAGCAUUGAACUAGAUUCUUUUUUAUAAAAGAAAAACGAACCGGGCAGGCAUCGAACAGUUUGCAAAAUGCAUGGUUUUGAUUGCAGGUGUUCCAUGGCAUCGCGAACUUUGCAAUGCAACGCGGGUAAACAUUUCAGAUUUUCAGUACAUGAGAUUAAGGAAGUCAAGCUUCAUCUCUUUUAGAUAAAAGACCAUCUCUGGCCCUGCUUUUGAUUGAAAGCAAGCUUCAUCUCUUUAGCAAACCGCAUCAGCAGCCCUCUUGUUCCUUCUGAAACUCAUAAAACCUUCUGCUCUCUCUACUUCAGUUCCGAUCCUUUUUGCUUCAGGGCCGGCCCUGGGGCAGAUGGCCCAUGCAUCGGCCAGCAACAAGCAAGUUUGGCCCAGUAUUAUAUCUCAUCAGUUGCAGAAACUAAGCCCACUUCCCCAUGAAUGGCGCUCCUGGCCCGUGUUUCUUUUCCCUUUCGCGAGAAACCAAUCAAUCAAGCUGAUAACUUCCCACGGAAUUGCCAAACGAAUACUCUUCUAUGCUUCCUCGCGCCAUGCGCGAGGCCAUCAGUCUGGCGUUAGUAUAUGUUUCCUAUCGCACGAAGCAGCUUUUUUAGCAUUGCAAGCAUGUACAUUUCAGCCUGAUUAGUAUCUCGCAUUAUGUGCCGUCAAAACGUUUUUAUUAAAAUUAAAAGUUUCCAAAUGACAAUACGAAGCAGUUUUUAAAUUUGAAGAAUUUGCAAGCAUGAUCCGCCGCAGCUGUAGCAUAUUGCGCCAUCUGCAAUCGUGAAAACGCAUCGAUUUUCUUCCAGUUCAGGUUAUAAAAAAAACCCCAACUAUUUGCUCGUUGCAUUGCAUUCGUACAACGCAUCCUCGUGAGUCUUUGAAUAAUACCCAGUUAUUUGCUUGUUGCGUUGUGCAACGUAUCCUCGCUGGUCGCAGCCCAUAAGCACCAAGCUGUCGUGGUCAUCAUGCUCGUCGUUGACUCGUCUCUAGUUUUUAGAACCACAUGAACCAACAGCGCAGUGGUUGAGCAUUCAAUUCCAUUUCAUUUCACACAGGUUCUCCCCCAAGAAAACAAGUACGAGCACUACUAUAAAACGAUUUACAGGAGCGUCGGAGCGGGUGAAAUUACCACCCGUACUACAAAAGAAGCGGGACUACUGUAGCAACCGAUCCGUCUUGAAAGCAUUUGUAGGGGCGGGUCAUGGGGCGACUCAUCCCUAGAAAUGGGGGCUAUUUUCAGGGGUGAGUGUCGGUGUUUAAACUCAGCAACCUACCGAGGGGGAUGCUCAAGGUAAUAUUUUGGUUAGUGGGGCUCGUCGAGAUCAUAAACUCGAAGGUAAACGCAGACACACGGUUUAGACAGGUUUGGGCCACUAGAUUGCGUAAUACCCUACAUCCUAUGUGUUGGUUGGAUUGAAUUGCUUUGGAGGGGUCCCUGCCUCACCUUAUAUUGUCGGGAGCGGGGUUACAGGUCGGUUAGUUACAAAAAUACUAGUUGGAUACGACUAGAGGAGUUCUACUCUUAUUACAACGAGUACUCUCCUAAUCCUUGACUACUUCCUGUCUUUUCAUGUAGACUACGCCGUCCUGCGCUAUGGUCUCCAUGUCAGAUGCGUCUCGGUGUCCAGUCUCAUAUUUAGGACCGUCCAAACCUUCUGGUGGGCUCAUAGAUAUACGUACGACAUUAUGUGAUAUGGUGACCCGCGCCUAGACAUCAUCAUUUUCAGGGGGCGGGUCACCCCAUCACUUGCCCCUAGAAAUAACAUCACCCGCUCUUGAAAAUGAUUUCCACGGGCGGGUGAUGACAUGACCCGCCCUAGAAAUGAUCCCGUGGAAAUAAAAUUAUAAAUUUUUUAUAUGAUCGUCGAUGAAGACAAACUUUAUAUCAAAAUUGUAUAGCUUGACGAGGGCUAAAACUUUGUAGUUGAAAAGUUUUUCAUUUUAGUUUGUUUAAUACUUCAAAAUAUCCGUUUAAGUUAUAUAGUUUUAAAAUCUAAAACUUUUGAAUUUUCAAAUGACUUUGGCUAUAUAGAAGCUCAACAUCAAACUUGUAGAGCUCGACGAGACCUAAAAUUUUGAAGUUGACAAGUUUUCAAUUUGAAAUUAUUUAAUAUUUCAAAAUAUUAUUAUAAUUUCUCUAGUUUUGAAAUAUAAAAUUUUUGAAUUUUCAAAUGAGGUCGACUAUAGAGAAGCUCUAUAUGAAACUUGUGGAGCUCGAUGAGACCUACAACUUCGAAGUUGACAAGUUUUCAAUUUGAAAUUUCUUUAAUAUUUCAAAAUGUCAUUAUAACUUCUCUUGUUUUGAAAUAUAAAUUUUUUGAAUUUUCAAAUGAGGUCGACUAUAGAGAAGCUCUAUAUGAAAAUUGUAGAGCUCGAUGAGACCUAAGAUUUUGAAGUUGGCAUGUUUUUUAUUUGGGAUUGUUCGAUACUCCAAAAUGUGUUAUAUGUAAGUCCUCUAAUUUUGAAAUCUACAAAUUUUAAAUUUUUCAAAGGACUUCGGUUAUAGAGAAGCUCUAUACGAAAGUUGUAACACUCAACGAGGUCUAAAUGUAUAUAAAUAUAUGUAAAUAAAUGAGUAUAUGCGUGAGUAUAUGUUAAUGUAUAAAAUAUGUGAAUGUAUGAGUAUAUAUGUGAGUAUGUGUGAAUGAGUUUAUUGGAUGUAUUUUUUGAAUAUAAACUUUUUCAGGUCAUCUUGGAUGAAUAUAAACUUUAUAUCAAAAUUGUAGAGCUCGAUGAGACAAAACAACUUUGUAGUUGACAAUUUUUGCAUUUGAGAUCAUUUAAUAACUCAAAAAAUUAUUUUAAAAUAAAAAUAAAAAUAUAUAAAUAAUUGUAGGGGCGGGUGAUGGCACCAGCUACUCCUGGAAAUAAUUUCUAGGGGUGGGUGAUGGUGUCACCCGCCCCGGAAAUCAUUUCUAGGCAUGAGUGAUGGCAUGACCCGCCCCUAAAAAUAGUUUUGCGCAAAAAAAUCAUAAUUUUUUCAUAUAAUCUCAGAUAAAGAUAAACUUUGUAAUAAAGUUGUAGAGCUCGACGAGAUCUAAAACUUUGUAGUUGACAACUUUUUUAUUUAAGAUCGUUUGAUGGUCUAAAAAAAUCGUUAUAAGCUCAAGAAAGAAACACAUACUGCGACGUCAACGAUCCAUGCCUUCAAAAUUGAAGCCGUGGGUCCUCGAGGCGCGGGAGCUCGACGGCCGGCAGCACCUUGGGUCCCCACGUUUUUUUAUUUUUUUAAUUGGUUACUAGGGGCGGGUGACGGGGUGACCCGUCCUUGGAAACGCUAUUUGCAGGGGCGGGUGAAGCCAUCACUCUCCCCUGGAAACGGCUUUACAAGGGCAGACCUUUUACCCGCUCCUGCAAACAACUAUUUGUAGCUGCGAAAGUUAGGAGCAGGUAGUGCGCUGGCCCCUGCAAAUGCCGUUUCAACGGUCCCUAAAAACCCUUUUUUAUAGUGAAAUCAACAUACAUUUGCAGUUUGCACUAUUAAAAGGCAUCCCAAUAAUCCCCUCUAGAAAUUAAGCUUGAGCAUAUUCUCCCAAGUUAACAAAUGUAGCUUAACUAGCAUAAAAUAUCAAAGGGUUCAUCUGUUUAAUUCCAUGGCAACUAUGUCAGUUUCUUAUAUUCGGGAAGGAGGAAUAAUGGGAGGAGGAGGAGGAAACAAGAGAUCCAGAAUCUGCUUGGUUGCUGGCGGUAAUUAACGAGCCAUGCCAACAUGUGGCGGGAAAAUUCGACGCCCAACCUUCGGCAGCCUUUGGCGAGAAAAACAACGGGAAAACUGGUAGAACGUUGUGGCACGCCAAAAGUUGGUAAUCAACCAAGCACCAUCGUAAAUCGUUGUGUCUGUCAAAGUCUAUGCUGUGGCUCGUUGUAGCCGGGAGCCCGGGAACCAUCCCUGGUACUGUGGUACGGAGGAGGCGGGGAUAAAGAAAUGGGUCUAACGCCACCACGUCAUCAUGUAUAGAAGUAUAGAAGGUAGCAUCCAUUCCUAGAACCAUUAUGUGGGUUUUAGUAAAUUGUUUCAUACUUAAAUUAUAGGUUUGUUGUAUCUAAGAUAGAAUCUAUUGCAUGAGUAGAGACGAGCUUUUCUGUUUUAGUUUUUUUAUAUUCACAUAUAUUAUCAUAUUAUUUUGUAGAAAAGUCAAACCGACUUAAAAUUUGUAACCUAAAAAGAUCAAAACGACCUGUAAUUUGGAACGAAUGGAGUAUAAGGGUUAAAUAGACUGAUCUAUACGGCGGUUGCAUCAGACAUAAAUAGACAAGUAUAUUAUCUGGUAGAUGUAUAGAUAAGGAAUAUUUCGUUAGCCAUCGGGAACACUUCAGGUGGCAAGUCGGCCAACCAUGUUUCCUAUUCCUCCCUUCCAAUGAUUGAUUUCAUGGACAGUCUACUGCCCGACCACCACGCAGACCCAAAUGAACAAUGGCUUCUUUAAAGGUCAAUUUGAUUAUCCAACGUUGUAGUAAUGGCCAUCUAUAUAGCUACGACGGCAUGCAGCAGGUGCUAUAUAUUCAGAUCGCAAGCUGAAGCUGCCAUUGUACUCGAACUGGCUAGACGAGACAGCUGGGUGCGUGUGUUUGGAGCUGUGCAACAACGAACAAUAUGAUGGAAGCAUGGCGGCCGCCAUGGCUGGCACUGUCAUCAGUGCUGCUCCUGUCUCCAGCGGCGUCGCAGCAGCCGCCGGGAUGCCGGCACCAGUGCGGCAACAUAACGGUCCCCAACCCCUUCGGCAUCGGCGCGGGCUGCCACCGCGCCGCAGCCGCCGGAUCCGGUGGCCGGGGCUUCGAGCUCGAGUGAGACGACGCCCACACGCCGCCGCGCCUCAGCGUGGCCGGCUACGGCCACGAGGUGUCCGCCAUCUCGAUGCCCUCGGCCGAGGCGACGGUGCUCCUCAACGCCAGCCGCGCGUGCUACGACCGCCCCGGCGACGCCGACGGCCGCGCCGCCGCCAGCGUCCUGGAGCACCCCAUGGCGCUCAACGGCAGCGCGUUCCUCUUCUCGUCGAUGAAGAGAAAGUUCGUGUCCAUCGGCUGCCCCGAGCUGACCUACUUCGUGGACGGCGGCGGGGACUACGUCGCAGGGUGCAUGUCGGUGUGCCGGCCGUCGGGGAGCACGCCGCUGCCGGGAUCGUGCCGGGGCCACGACGGCUGCUGCCAGAACAACAUACCCUUUAGGCCUCGACACCUACCGCCUCUACCUCGGCAGCUUCACCCGCCGCGGCGGCCAGCAGGUCAAGUGGUCAACCUGGGGAUGACGACGACGCUCUUGGCCAACUCCACCGGCUGCUCCUACGCGUUCAUGGUGGACGCCAUGUGGUUCUGGUUCUGGCUCGCCGGCACCAACUUCAACCGGACCGGUGAUUUCGCCGUGCCCGUGGUCCUGGACUGGGCCAUCAGUGACGCUCCGAGCUGCGCGGCGGCGCGGCGAGAUCCCACCGCGUACGCGUGCCGGAGCGCGCAGAGCGUCUGCCUCGAGUCCAGCAACGGCCCCGGGUACACCUGCAACUGCACCGGCGGGUACGAGGGCAACCCCUACGUCACGAACGGCUGCACAGGUACGGUAUUCAGAUCAUCCAUGGAUAUUCCUUGAAAUAAUGUCAUUUUAUUUGUGUCUGGUGAUCGAUGUGCCGGUGAUCGAUCCCUGACAUUGAUUGAAAUGGAUGUAACGACGGAUCAUCAGAUGUUGAUGAGUGCCAGCGCAAGGAUGAGUUCCCGUGCUAUGGGGUGCGCGUGAACACGCCGGGCAGCUUCACCUGCACGUCCCAAGGGAUCCAGCGGGAAUGCUACUAUUCCAGACGGCUGCCGCCCUGAUGACAAGUUCACGCUAGCACUCAAGGCUGUCACAGGUAUACAGGCAUAAUUCGAUAGAAAAAUCUUCAAACUAAUAGAGUUUCACUUUACUAACAGAUUAUCAAUUGCCAAACGUGUUGAAUCCGGGUUCGUUUCAGGUGUGAGCAUUGGCGUGUUCCUGCCGCUGGUGUCUUGCUUCUCGGCACACCUGUGGCUCCAGAAGAAGCGGCUGCUCCGAGCAAAGCGGCGCUUCUUCGAGCAGCACGGCGGCCUCCUCCUGCAGCAGCAGCUGGGCUCCCUUGCCAGCUCCGGCGUCACCUUCAAGAUCUUCUCCGAGGAGGAGGUGAGAAAGGCCACCGACGGGUUCGCCGAGGCGCGGGUCCUCGGCCGCGGAGGGCAGGGCGUCGUCUACAAGGGCGUCCUCGCCGACGGCUCCGCCGUGGCCGUCAAGAGGUCGAGGGUCAUGGAGGAGAAGCAGGUCAGCGGGUUCGCCAGGGAGAUGCUCAUCCUCUCCCAGAUCAACCAUCGCAACGUGGUGAAGCUGCUCGGCUGCUGCCUCGAGGUCGAGGCGCCCAUCCUCGUCUACGAGUACGUCCCCAACGGCAGCCUCCACGGCCACAUCCACACCGGCGACGGCGGCAAGAAGCUAGUGCUGCCGGCGGACGCGCGCCUCCGCAUCGCCGCGGAGGCCGCGGACGCGGUCGCGUACAUACAGUCGUCGGCCUCGCCGCCGAUCCUCCACCGCGACGUCAAGACCGCCAACAUCCUGCUCGACGGCGAGGUCAACGCCAAGGUGUCCGACUUCGGCGCUUCGCGGGUGGCGCCGGCGGACGGCGCGGCGGUGGCCGCGCUGGUGCAGGGGACCCUGGGGUACCUGCUGACGUGCCAGCUCACCGGCAAGAGCGACGUGUACAGCUUCGCGGUGGUCGUGCUGGAGCUCCUCACCGGGAGGAAGGCGUUCUGCGCGGAGGACGACAGGGAGGACGGGUGCCUCGCCUUCAGCUUCCUCGCGGCAGCGCAAGCGGGGCAGCACCGGGAGGUUAUGGAUGGCCGGGUCAUGGCGGUGGUCGGGUUGGAGGUGGUAGACGAAGCCGCGGAGCUGGUGGCGCAGUGCCUGAGCUUGAGCAGCGAGGAGAGGCCGACCAUGAAGGAGGUUGCCAACAAGCUUCAAACGCUGACAACGCGCGCAUGCAGCGGCGGCAAAAAUGCAGGAACUAAAACUAAUGGGGUUGCUCACUACUGAUGUUUCUGCAGCUCUGCUUCAUACUGGGAGAUUCGUACACACAAACUACUGGAUUUCCAAUAAAUUGAAAAGCUCAAACUACACAGUUUAUGUAUAUUCACUGUUUUUUUAAUUGUGACCAUCGAAUAUUUACUUUGUGUAUAUAAAUUCAUUCAAGUUUGCAACCAUCGAAAUUCAAGGCUUCAAAUGUCGACCCAUUUGAAUAAUUUAUAACCCCAGUGACAGCAACUGUUCCUUUUGAUUUCCGUGUCUCCACGCUCGUCCUUUGUUUCCCUCUGUUUGUGUCAAGGAUACCAUCUCUACAAUGGACAAUGGUGACUAGCUACCAUGUAUUAUUGCCCAUGGGAGCUCACUUAGCAGCAACAGGUAGUCAAUCCAGAGAUGACACGACUCAUAAUUCAUCUCAUCUCCAUUGCUAGGAGCCUGCUCCCAUCUCUGAAAAACGAGGAAAUGAAACAUCUCCAAUCUCCAUGUUCACAUCAUGGCAUGCAAGUACCAAGGCUCAGGGUAUGAAGUAUCACCUUGUUAUGAAGCACGUGAUGAUGCUUUGAGUUGUAAAUCCUGAUAAGCUGUGAGUUAUCGAUCCAUUUCUGCUGAUGCAUAUGGGAGUCUAAUUCUUUCCCCCCUAUCUCUGCAAAUUGUUGAUCUCCUGGCCUCCUGGAAAUCUGCUUCUCACUGACGGAUUAAACAAGGAUAAACCAUGUUAGUGACUGAGCUGCUAUCAUGCAGGGAGCAAGCACCACACGGAGCACAUGCACUUGGUUUUGGUCUGCUGAUCUGCUCCUCCAGCCCAUGACUCAAUUCGUGCACAAUUUUCAGGAUUCUUGCCAGGAGAAACAGGUGCCACACCGACUAGAAACAAUAUUCAUACAUAAAUGACGCCCAUCUCAGAGAAGAUAACUUCUUUUUUCCUUUUUGAAAAGGGUCACCUUGGUUCGAGCCCCGGCCAGCGGCACUUCGCAACUGUACACUCAGGCUCCCAAGAAGAUAACAUUUCACUACAGGUGUUUAAUGAAACCAAGUGCAAAUGCUUCAAAGUUCAGAUAUAACAUUUCAGACAUCCACUACAUGUGCUUAAGGUUACUAGAAGAAAGUGGCAUGCCAUUGUUAACAAACAGCAUCUCCCCCAAGCACUUUACUGCCUUUCGGUGCUCUUCCUUCUGGAACUCAUCAAACCUCUGAGUGUCGGCCAUCAACAGUUCCGUAUACUUCUCGUAGAGUGUCGUUUCCUUCCUGUCCUUUGCUUCUUGCUGCUUCAACCUGGCUACCUCAAGCUUCUCUUUCGAUAGGCGGAGCUGCACCUCCGACAUCUUCUCACGGUCCUUCUGGAGCAUGGCCUGCAGAUCCACUGCACGUUUAAUGUCUUCCUGAACUUCUGAGGGAGGAGUUGAUGCGUUCCCUUUGCGUUUCCGCUUGAAAUUUGACAUCUUUGAACCUCGUGGGUAUGUUUGUUUCUCAGGAAUAUCACCUCUCACUGUCCCUGCAUGGUCUAACGUUUUGUGACAUUGUGGAUGUGUUUUCUUUUCAGGCACAUCUUCCCUCACAGCACUCCCGUGCUGAAACUCAUUAGGCCUUGCAGUGUCAACCAUCAGUCUAUCUCUUCCAUGCUGAAACUCAUGGAUCCUUGAUGUGUCAGCCAUCAACAGAUCUGUUUGCAUUUCAGAUAUUACCAUUUCCUUGUCCUUCAUUUCCAGCUGAUUCGAUCUGGCCAGCUCAAGCUCUCGGUCAGAGCACUGAAGCUCUGCCUCUGUCAUCUCCUUGAGAUUCUUCUCAAUCAUGUUUUCAGGAUCCACUGAGCACUGAAUGUCUUCUUGCAACUCUGAUGGAGGAGAUGACACCUUACCAUUAACUUUGUGUUUCUUCUUUGCAGGCACGCUACCCUGUUCACCUGUUUCCGUUUCAGGUGCAUCUUCGGAGGAUGAUGUGCAGUCCUCAGAUUCAAACAACUCAGUUUUCUUGAAGUAUAAAGAAGAGACGUGUCUUUUCCACUUGGGUUGAUCCCAAACAGCUUUCCAACAAUGGCUGAGGGCGAAAUGAUGUUUUGCUUCCUCAAGGUACAUCUCCCGUGCUUCCUCAUUAUACAUCGCCCAUGUUUUGUCCAUCAGUUGCAUUUUCUCAGACUGGAUACAGGAAUGUUUUGCCUCAACUCGGCACCAGCAAUCAUAGAAGUGGGCGAUCUUCGUAUUAAUCCUCUGCCAGUGGGUCUUUAAUUGCAUUAGUGUCCGUUUCCGAUCUUUCGGGGUGUUCCUAUUAUACACACCCACGACAUUUGCCCAGAAAUACUUCUUGGAAUUACUCCGCCUGGAACUAUUUAACCAAGCACUAACCUGCAUAACCGGAAAAAAAAUAUUAAGGAAAAAAAAUGUAAGGACUAGUCUAAACAAACAUAAAAUGAAUAGAAAACUUCUUACCAAUCUUAAGUUCUCCACUUCUGUCCAACUCAGUCGCCUAGAGGUUCUAUCAGGUUCAGCAUUCCUGUCAUUGCCUACACUAAAAAUGUCUUGUUCAUCCGGACCAGUUACUGAAUGUGGGGUGCCUGACUCUGACACUGAUAAUGGUACCACUCCAGCAGGUGGAGGUGGAAGUGGCGAUGAUGGUAAUGGUAAUGGUAUAACUCCAGCUGGUGGAGGUGGAGGUGGUGGUGGUGUCAACAUAGCCCUGGAAGGUGGAGGUUGUGGUAGUGAAAAAGGACCAUAUUGUGGUUGGACAACAACAUAUUGGACAUGUGGUGGGUAUAGGUGUUGCUGUGGAUAUUGAUGAUGGGGGAAGUUCAUGGAAUGCGAUGGUUGUGAAAACGACACAUGGUGUGGAAAUUGUGUGUGGUGAAAGUUCAUAGGAUUGGGCCUUCCCAAUGGCUCAUUUGGACAACUCUUACAAUUUGAUGAGGAGCCACUGGGAGGACGAGGGUCCAUUUAAAAUGGAGGAAAACUGAUAUUGUGUGAUUUUGAUGUGAUCAAAUGAUAGUGGAAUUCAGGGUAAAUAGGAAUGGAGUAACAGUUGCACCUUAUAUUCUGUACAAAGUUUCAUUGAGGUAUAAGUUUAAAAUACACAUCACGGAUAAAAUUUGUAAAAGCUAUUUUUCACCUCUGUAUUUCCUUUGACGUUCAUUGGACCCUAUCUCAGACUGUCAAAUAUUCCAUGGCUCAAAGCUACCAGUAGUAUUGUAGUAACUGUGUGCUUGCAGAUGUCACACCCCUGGGAAACAAAAUGGGUGAUCAAUGAAGAUGCAGAAUCUCUGUAACUCGACUGGAUAACAGGGGAUAGCAAAGAAGUUGACUGACUAAUGUAAAAAUAUCCAUGUUCUGAUGAUAAACUAAAUUAAGGACUCAUCUUUGGAUUAGCGUUUGGAAAAACUGUUUGAAGGAAAACAACACACUGAAAUUGAAACAGCACCAAGCUCAUAUUUCCCAGUAAAAUGAUCCAGGAUAGAGUACUCAAAAUACAGGGUUAAAAUAAGGUCAGAUCCAACUACCCAAGGAGUGUGGCAUUUACCUUAACGGUAGUUAAAUAAUUUGGUCAAACCUAAUUUACAGAUACAAACAGACAUUUACAAGAUACAAAACAAUACUAGCUUUAAAACUAAAGAUAGCAUGAAGAUUAGCAGCUAGCUGAAUCAUACUCGCAUUUUAUCUAAAGAAAUGAAGGCAGAAAUACCUCCAGAUUCACGGUAUUGGGUACCAAACCGAUGCGGAAAUGGUGUAACUUGCAUAGUCUGAAAGCUUUAAAACUGGAAGGAGUGAGGGGGAAACUUAACACUGACCUAAUCCAGUGGCUAGCAUGCUCAGGUUCUUCCCUCCCAGAUCGUUGUUCCCACCUUGACCCCUCCUGAGGCAAAACGAUUCAACUUUAGUGACAGGACUCCGAAGUACAGAAAGGCGACGCAAGACACGAUCCUGAUACAGGUUCGUACAAUGCGCGGAUAUCGCGCGCCUAGCCGAACCCAAAUUCAAGGGGACCGUGCUGCCCUCCCCGCCGCCCGGCGGGGUGCGUGGCACUGGCACCGGGUUAGGAAACGGCUGGUCUGGAAUCGCCGGAGCUGGUGAGCUGCCGCGGCGGCGGGUCUGGGGCGGCGGGCGGAGUUUGCGUGGAGCCGGCGAGGUGGCGGUGGUGGGGUGGUGGGCGGAGUUGGUUGCUGUUUUCUGUUGGGCCGGGUUGGUCUUGGUCAACAAUCUGCGCUGCGGGCUGAUAAUCAUAGGCCGGACCAGGCGGACAAAAAUAGCCCAGUUUAUUGUGGACCCAAAAUAGGCUUGGCCCAGAGCACGGUCGAGCCCAGAUAGAUAUAUGAUCAUCAGACAUAGCGCCCACGGUCGAGCCCAGAUAGAUAUCUGAUCAUCAGACUAGUUUGGCUAGUCUAAAAAAAAUCAGACUAAUUUGGCGUGUUCCUUGUUGAACUCUUCUCAUCGUCCACAUCAACCUGUCCACGACGGACAGACGUGGAGGAGAGGACGAGGACGGGGUGCCUCUCACCCUCACCACCAUUGCACGUACCACUGCAAGCACACACGUCGCAUGUCACACAGAUCACACUCACACAGCCCCAGCUCGCACCUCCGAUCACACGAUUACAAUGUUGAAAGCACCCGUAAUUUUUGCUUUGCAUUAAAAAAAGAAAAAAAAUGUAUUUUUCAUCCCUCAAAUAUUGCAAAAGUGUGACAUUCAUCCCUUAUGUUCCAUUUGGUGUAAAUCAACACCUUAACUAACUAAAUCAGUGCAUUUAUCAUCACCACCUUAGUUUAGCGAUAGUUAGUGCCAUAUAACAUUGGUUUAGACCAUGUGAUAAUCUUACUGGUCACUACUUAGUUACGUCUAAUAUUGAGUCAAUCACUAUAAUAAUUCUGAGAGUUGUUAAACUACGUUCCAAUGUCCAGUUUAAAACCGAAUUGAAUAUUAUAUGUCUGAAUAUACCAUGCUGGUAAUAACCCAUAGAAAAAUGUAUGUUGCAUGCUCUAAAGAAAUGUUUUUGCCUUCAGAUUGAUUUUGUAGCAAGCAAACUGUCAUGAUCCCGACCAUAAAUAGACUCAAAUUCAAAUAGUGCAACCUUUUAUCCACCAGAUCACUGUGUCAAGGUUGUUCUCAUGGUUCUUAGACUCAAAUUCAGAUCAAUGUACAUACUUCAGCCUUCUAUCCAUUGUUGUUCUGAUGGUUCUUUGAAUGAAGUGGUUCUAUAGUUUUCAUUGAGACUUAUGAUACUGCUUAUUGGUGUUGAACUAUGUAUUUUUGUUUCAGCUUGGAACCAGAAGACAAUAAGGAAGGAGUAAUCAUGUAUUGCAAUAUAAAUAUUUUAUCUCCUAGUAAAUCCUGGUGUCAAAAAAAAGUCAAAGUCUAGGAAUGAUAGUCAGCUGGCACGUGCAAGCAGACGUACUCCAAAAUUCAUCGAAAAUGGUAAACAACCACCACCGCCGACCGGCGGCCGCCCCUGCCGUCCUACCACCCAGUCCAACCACUACUCCACCCUUUCUAAAAUACCAGAUUUCUAAGGACCAAACGAUAAAACACCUCAACGAAAGAAAAGCCAAAGCGGGCCAGCGGCAAAACCAAAGCCUGCAACUUUUGCGUAAAAGCCCCCUCAUAUUCUCCCUUCCUCCUUCUUUGAGUGCUUCUCCCCUUCUUCGAGGUCUCGCCUCGCGCACCGGCGAGCGGGCGCGCGGUGGAAGCAUCUAGAAGGUUCCCGACGCCACCCCCGAUGCUCUUCCGGAAGCGAAUCAACUACGUGGCCCCGAUGCUCGCCUCCGCCGCCAUCCUGCUCCUCCUCCUCUCCGGCUACUUCGAGCUCCCCUCCAUCUCCUCGCUCUCCACGCCCGCGCCCGUCCUCCCGGGCGCCGGCGCCACCCGCUUCCCCACCGCGCUCGACUCCGUCGGCUCCCGCGACCGGAACCCCUUCACCUCCCUCCUCGAGGCCUUCAACGCCUGGGACGCCGCCGUCGGGUGCCCCCGCAUCCGCGCCAAGCUCGCCGCCGGGGAGCUGCCCGGCGCCAACGCCACCGCCGAGGCCUCGGCUUCCGCGGCAAUCACCGGCGGCGCGGCGUGGGGCGGGGCCAAGUGCGAGGAGAUGGCGACGCGGCACGUCGGGGUGCUCGUCAAGGGGUGGACGUGGAUCCCCGACGCGCUCGACGGGGUCUACACGUGCCGCUGCGGGGUCAGCUGCGUAUGGAGCAAGUCCGCUGCCGCCGUCGACCGCCCCGACGCGCUGCUAUUCGAGGGCGCCACGCCGCCGCCGCAGGUACCCGACUUCUUCCCCUCUUUUCUUGUCCAGUCAUGAUGGGGGGAUCACUUGUUUUCUUGAAAAAUGAGGCGUCAGCUGCGAGCUGCCUGUUUAUGAUGAACUGAUAGCUGCUAAAUUUGGCACUUGGAACUUCAGAGAUCAAAUUGGCGAUGAGUUCUAAUCCUUCGUGGAAUCAGAGAAUUGGUAUACCAAAAAAAGAAGAAGAAAAAUUUGGGGCCAUUUCUGUUGGGGAAAGAGGUAGGAGUACCUAACAGGUGCCGAUGGUAGCAUGUGUGCCCUUUUAAAAUGUUGGUUAGGUUAUAAAAAAUGCUUUUGAAGUGUGUUCUAAGUUUGUUUGUGUACACUUGAUGACAUGGCAAAAUAUUUUUUUUGAAAAUGUGGCAAAAUAUUUUGUCCGAAUCUUAGUUUCUUGUUGAAAUGUGGGAUGCUCCCACCAUUUUUAAAUCAUGACGUUAUAAACUAAUUAGCUCCCACCAUGUCAGCAUCCAGGUGCUGACAUGGACCAUAUGGACCUGUGGUGCAGCAUUUGACAAGUUUAGUGAUAUGGAAAUGCAUUUUCUAAGUUUAUGGGCCUAAUUGAUACACAGUAACAAGUUCACGGACUGUUGAUUUAAUUUUACUCUAUUUAAAAUGGAGGGAGCAGGAGCACUCAUGAUACCAGUUCUUCUAAUUGAAUUGUUUGCUGUAGUAAAUUGGUGAAACAGCAGAUAUUGUUUCCCACUGAUCUGCUGCUUUGAUGAAAAAUUCAGAAGCUGGGACCUGUAACCUGUCCGUAUCAGUAUUGUGGAUUGCUUGCCGCCUCUUUCCUUUGCAUCUUAUUUCUGUCUGUUAAUUUGGCAGUUCUGGUUGGUCAUUUGGUAGCUAAAGGUUUGGUCAGUGGCAUGGCUACAGCUUUGCAAGUUUGCCAUCUUUCAUUGGACUUGCGUGGAAUCAAACACUUAUUCUCUUUUUGAAUAAUUUAAGAUUUAUUUAUUCAUUGUUUUAUAAACUGAUUAAGUAUAUACAUCUAUCUGAUUCUCAUUUUUAAGUGUUCCGUGACAUGUUUUGCAGAGAAUGAAAGGACUGCCUCUUCGUGUUUAUCUGGAUCUGGAGGCUAGUAGAAAGCCAACAGGUUUUGAGGACAUUUUUAUAGGUUACCAUGCGAAUGAUGAUGUGCAAAUAACGUACGCUGGAAAGUCAUUUCACACCAGCCGGAGCUAUCAUAUAUCAACUGAAAAGAAAAAUGUAAGUCUAAAAGUAUAAAUUGCAUUGCAUAGUAAUAUCAAGGCAACAAUUUACUUGGCUUACAAAAAUAGUAAUUUUAAUACCCUGUGCACUUCCUAACUCCAGCUAUGUUUUUCCUUAACAUGAGUAUCAGUGUAUUACUCAUAAUUUUUUUAUGGGAACUGUCCUGUCCAGCAUUGGUUGUUUGAACUUUGUCCGUAGAAAAUGUAGAUAAUGUCUACAACUCUACAAAUUGGCUUACUCUAGAUUAUUAGCAGGUGCAUAGAGACCCAUCUUAACUGAAGGUUUUCCACUUCUUUUUACCUUUUUAUGGCAAGCCUGAAACAGUUAUGUGGGGGAUGAUGCAAAGAGUGAUCGCAAGAUGAUAUAGAGUGGGGGACGAGUGUUCACAGUACCAAAUCUUCUGUAUUUUUCUGUAAUUUGUGUUUUACUGUCACAAGAUGAAGUCAUGCAUGUCUGCUGUUGCAUCAGUGCUACAUUUUAUCAGAUAGAAUGAGUCCUGCUGUAGUAAUUCUCCCUCGCAUCAUUUUAAUCUUAUGAACUUUUGAUUUACCUGUCUGGUAUCAGGAUGCACUUAUUUACUGGUCAUCUUCAAGGUGCCUUCCUCACAGAGACAAGCUUGCAAAAGAUUUCCUCACAUUGGUGCCACACCAUUCCUUUGGCAGAUGUUUGAACAAUGUUGGUGGUCCUGACAUGGCGCUAUCUAUGUAUCCAGUUUGCUCCACCAAUGAUAAUGGUUCACCACACUGGUGGGAUCACCUACACUGCGCAAUGUCACAUUACAAGUUUGUUCUUGCAAUUGAGAACACCAAGACAGAAAGUUAUGUGACUGAGAAGUUGUUCUAUGCUUUGGAGGCUGGAUCGGUGCCCAUAUACUUUGGGGCAGCCAAUGUCUGGGAUUUUGUUCCUCCCAAUUCUAUUAUAGAUGCUUCCAAAUUCAGCUCUCUGAAAGAACUGGCAUCAUAUGUGAAAGCACUUGCAAAUGACCCUGUAGCCUAUGCAGAAUACCAUGCAUGGAGACGCUGUGGUGUUCUGGGUAACUUUGGCAGGGCCCGUGAAAUGAGCCUUGACACGCUGCCUUGCCGACUCUGUGAACUAGUUAGCAAGAGAGGUGGUAAGAGUGCGGAUGCAUUGUGAUUGGUGGUAGGUGUCCUGACUUAGAUACUCCCUCUCCAUCUACUUUAACGCUAGCUCUGUCUGAUAUAACCUUUUUCUUCGUUUACACUAGGUGAUUUUUUGGCUUGUAUACCUCGAUACAUUGAGAACUGAAUGACUUACAACUCAGAUAUGUGAGAUGCUAAUGGUAUGUCAAACUGCUCGUGCUAUUCAGUUCAAGAAGUGCUCUUGAUAUUUGGGUGAAGAUCACAUUGUCGGAAGAAAAUAGUGCAAUUUUUUUUUAUUAUUUUUGACCCGUAUCUUUUACCUUCGGAGUUACGAGGUGUGUGCAGUUUCUGGGCUAGAGGCUCAUGUUUUUUUGGCGGAUAAGAAUGCUGUGUUUGGUAUGGUAUGAGCCAGUAGUCAUCUAUUAUAUAUCAAUACAAAUUGAUUGAGGAAAUUUGAUGGUAGCACAGAAAUGACAGUAUCAAAACUAAUGUUACGGCUCUUCAUGUGGCUACAAAAGUAUGAACUAACCUUUUAAGUUUUGUGUUGAUGUUAUGGCUGGGUGUAUUUGUUCUAUGUAGGAUUUAUUGCAUUCGGCGUGGUCUCCUUUUUAAAAUUCUCGAGUAUGGGCAUGCAAAUUGUAACAAUGUGAACCCCUCGCGGAACACUUUGUAUGUUUUGGUAUGAGGUUCCAACUGAAGCUUCACAUAUGGGUAAGUCUGUCAGGCAGGCUUUUGGUGUUAAUGCAUAAACUCAACACGGUAACGAGUUCGCUUGCCUUCAAUUUGACUGGCGUGCAAGUUUCUAUUGAUCGAUGGUAUGUUGGAACACCAUGGGCUUUUGCUUGUGUCACAUGCUCUGUGUAGGCUGACUGUUCGUGUGUGCUUGUUGGCGUAAGGGACACAAGCAUGUAAGCUAAAUUUCAGGGGUCAAAGAAUGAAUGCAUUUCAGAUAGCGUUGGUUAUUUUUGUGAGACUAGUACUGCAUUAUCAUGACAUGAUCCUUAUGCUAACAAUGUAACAAUGGAUGAGUACCGGAAUAAACGUAAAUGUCCCUUUUUAUUGACUCUCAUGAUGAAACUAAAAUUUGAUUCUUGCACCAGAACCAGAGUGAUCUCAUUCGAAACAUCGAUCGGUCUGAACAAGUAGGCCAGACUCACCCCGACUCUAGAUCAAGUAACACACAGAAACAAGAACAUGAUGGAUUAAAAAAAAAAGGAACAUGAUCACAGACGGAGGCGGAGGCGUGGAAGCGGAGGAGGACGUAGGUGAAAUCGGCUUGAACAUGCUGAUGCGGUGGCCAGGGCGGCCAGGGCGUCGGAGAUGCCGCCGACGAGGCGAAGCGCUGACGCGCUAUGCGGUGCGGCAGGAAUCUCCAUUCUGCCAUUUGCUAUCGCGGAACGACUUGGGAGUUGUUCAUCGAACAGCAGUGGCAACUGCGCAUCUCCAUCUCCGCUAGUUCAUGCCUAGUCUGAUGAUCCCCAUCCGUUUUUUCUUUCUCUUGUGUUUUUGCUAUCUGAAUUAACCUUUGACAGUGUUCCUUCCAGCAUGAGUAUGUGGAACUGUCAGAUCAACGUCCUUUGGCCUUCUCACCAUCUUGUGGGAACUGUCAGAUUGUGUUGUGUGAUUACAGCUCCUUCUGGUCUCAAUGAAACUCUGAGAGGGAGAGGAUGUUCAAACCUUCUUUGUCAAAUGUCAACUAUCGUCAUCGAGAACACAAAGUAUAACAUUUAUUUAUUUAUUUAUGACUAUUUUUCUUUCAAUUGUUAGCAGUAAAAGGAACAUCGUUUCAGAGUAGCAAUUGUUUCGUCUAUAGAUCCUAUGUGUGCCUGUAGCACAGGAAAUGUGAGAGUUUCGAGUUAAUUCGUAUCGUCUAUGAUUUACUUGCUAAUUGUUCACUGAUGUAUGAUCAUGAUCAUGUUAUGCAGCUCAGAAGAUGUACUUAUGCGUGUUGUUGCACAAAAUACUUCCACUGAGUUGACCCUUCCUUUAUUCUUGUUAUCUAAGUUUUGUAGUCUCUCAGGCGUUCAUGCUGAGUUAGGUAAAUCUGCAUUGCGUAGCUCCGAGUGGUAAGAUAACCUAGCAAGUAGCAGUACCCGAAUCGCCAGACAUCAGUUAGAGUUGAGGAGGCACAGGCACCUGAAGAGCCUGCUUCACUACAGCAAGUCAGCAACAGUCAUGGUCUACAACUUUACAUGAAACGAUCUACACUGACUUUGGGAGGGUGGGUGAAGUCACAUGUCAAAACUGGAGAUAGUGGAAGAAUACAAACAAUAUCAGAGACGUUCCUAGCUCAUUUCAGAGGAUGCAAAAGCUGAAACUCAUUUCAGAGGACAACGCUGAAUGUUCUCCUAUCAGGGACUCACAGGUUCGGUUAAGGUCUGUUGCUAGGUGAAGGUGAUCACUUUCAGAGAUAUUAAUGAUUGUAAAUUUCAGAAAACCAUCGCAUAUUGCACUGACAACAAUCAGAAUAUAAAUAACGUCCCUUUAUAUUCAACCAAAGAUCAUAAAGAAUACAAUUGACAGAUGAGAUCUACCAUUAUUCUACAAGGAGGAGGAGGAGGAGGAGGAGGAGAAGGAGAAGCAGAAGAAGCAGAGGAGGGAAAGGGAAAGCACAGCAGGGGGUGGGUGCUCUCAUCUGUUCUUCCGCGAGCAGCGAGAGACUUAGAAUCCGGAUGCAUAAUCGUUGGCGGCCGGCCAACGGCGGCGCCACGGAGCUCCAUUCCUCGGGCCCAUGGCGUGGAGACGUGGAGGCGUGCGAGGAGACGAGCUGCGUAUGUCCCGGCCUUGCCCCGGCUCCCGGGACGGAGGAGCAGAGCACCGUGUCCUCCCUAGUCUGUCUAUCGCCUUCGUCGCCCAGCUGGCCCUCCCGGGACGCGAUCCAUGCAGUAGUGUUCGUUGAGGCUCUGCCCGGAUGAUGCGGCCUGAUCCCUCGCACCCGCUUACCAAACUACUUGACCGAGCACUGCGGCUUGGCCGAGACUCCAACCAAAGCAUAGGCCAUACGUGGUGGCAAGCUCCGAUAAUGGACUGAGCUGUGAGCUUUGGGCGCCGCCGGCCGGAUUCCAUGCGUGCCGUUGAGCACCCUGCACUUGCAUGCAUGCACGCGUAGGCUGCAUCCGCAAAUAGCUAGUUGACCAUUUUCCUUCACCGUAUUAUCUGACGUGCAAGGAGUUACCCCAUGCUCGAAAUUGUAGCUCGGUGCUAGUUUGUUCAUUAUUUCUAAAACAUGUUUCUUUACGGGUAAUUAACUUUGAAUAUAUUUCAUCGCUUCAUCUAUUAAUCAAACUCUUUACACGCUUUUCCAAUAAAACAGAGUUCUUGGCUAAACAAAGCACAAUAAAAUCAUUUUGGCAAAAUAAUGCUGGUGCAACGAGAAAAAACUAGUUUGACCAACGACCAAAUCAAGAGAGCAUAUCCCUUAGGCCAGAUAAUUAACUACAGCAUCAUCAGACUGUCAGAGACACCACGCAAGUUUUUACUUUUUUACCAUCGCGUGAAUACGCGAACUAUCCAGCUACUAGAAGUUGCCGUGUUCACGAGGGGGUGGCACAGCAACGGCGACGGCGCAACGUGCACGAACCGUCUAAACUCACUCAUCCUCAUCCAUCUGAGGACAAUUUUCUUUUCUUUUUUUUUGUUUCAGUGGGUCUGUGGACAAUUUUGCUUGCACCACGUACGCUCCAUUUUGCCGUUUCCAUCACCUUGUGCCUCACGACAACGCAAUAUACACGUACAUCCUUUUCUUUGGAGGAAUUCGGGUUUUUUUUUAUGUUUUUUAAGCAUGUGACAAAAUGAAUGUUACUAGCAUUCUUUUUUUUCCCCCGAGUAAUUGAUGGAUGGUAUUGGUUUGACUGAAAACAGGAUAGGCAAUUCCGAGGCCAGAAAUGAGCGCACAGGCCUACAGACGAAAUUCAGCACCGGCCAUCAGCAAUAUAUUCACCAUAGGUAAAAUCGUCCCGAUGAGUUAGGUUAAAAUUAUUUGAAAAAACAAAACAAAUCUAUCAUAGCUAGCCAGUUAGGUCCCGUUUAGGAGGGUUUCUUCUAAAACGGCUUCAUCGGUAAAGCUAGUGGAGUAAAAAAAUAGUGGUUACACUUAGUUUCUAGUUCAUUUUAGUUUCGAUUUACGAAAUAGCUUCACGUUACAAUAUCUCAUUUUGCGAAAAAAGACGAAGGUGAAGCUAGGAUAAGCUCUAAAAAACGGGCCUCGGUCUUGCAUGCGUACGAUAACUGCUUGCAGUCACUGACUGCCAGCUAACCUGGCGGCAUUACAAUACUCGAACAGACCAACAAUUACCACGCUUUCUCACUGUAAACAAGUGAAACCAACCAAUCUUCUAUGUGUAAACACCUGCAGCAUGCAAAGCUGCAUUUUUAUAUGGGAAGAAAUCUGUCCAUGCAUGCAUGUCUAUCUCCCAAGUUUAGUAAGAUCCCCAUGGCCUUGUUGUAUUUAAGCCACACGAGCCUUACCUGCAGAUGCUCACAAAGCCAGCUUAGCACAGAGCUGCAGAGGCAACUAACUGUCACCUCAGCUACACGAGGAAGACAAGACAGAACAGAAGCUUCUGCUGCGUAUGCCAACGAUGGCUUCUCACGCUCUCCUCCCCCUCCCUUGGCUUUCCUGUGUCAGUGUCUGUGCCUGCAUGGUUGCAGUGGCCGCCUUGUUGGCGUCGACGCCGGCGGCGGCGUCACGCGCCGCCCUUGGCGCCGCUGCCGGCAGUGGCGACCCGACGGUGGGGUUCACGGCGGUGAGCCUGAGCGAGAGCAACUUCGUGCUGCAGCGCCCCUACAACGUGCCGAGCGGCGACCGGUACAGGUUCGCCGGCGGCGUGCGGCAGCUGUGGGUGCUGUCCUCCGACAAGCCCCAUGAUCCCCACAGCCACACCAGCCCCAGAACGGAGAUCAGGAUGACGGUGAUAAAUUAUCCUUCUCGAUCGAUCACAGAUUUAGCUGAAAUUAACACAAGUAGAGAGUUAAUCAUAUACAGAGAUCAGGAUUAGAUUCAGAUCAGCAAUCUUCUUUCAAUCUUUCCAGGGCCACGACUACUCUUCUGGGGUGUGGCAGUUCGAGGGCUACGGCUACGUCCCCUCCGGCACGACGGGGGUGUCGAUCAUGCAGGUGUUCGGCGCCGGCGAGUCCGCCACCACGCUGAUGCUGCACGUCUACGACGGCGCGCUGCGCUACUACGACCGGCAGGUGGUGGAGGACAACAUCUACGACCGGUGGUUCCGGCUCAACGUGGUGCACGACGUCGGCGCGUCGACGGUGGCCGUGUUCGUCGACGGCAUCGAGCGUCUGCGCGCGCCGGGCCGCGGCGGGAGCUCGCACUACUUCAAGUUCGGCGUGUACGCGCAGAACCACGCCUCCAGCAGGAUGGAGUCGCGCUGGAAGGACAUCAGGAUCUUCAGGAAAGAUAACUGAUGAUCAUUUGACAUUUUGAGUCGAGCCAGGCACACGAUAGCUUAGCUACUAUAGUGCUUGGAGUAGUAUGCAUUUGUGUACAGUUGAUAAUAAGUGCAUUGUAUAUAUCGUUGUGUGGUUUGUGAUUACUGCAGUACUCGUAUCAUUGUGUGAAAAAUAUUACUCAUGUUUUGCCGGCUUGCCGCUAGAACAAUUUUGUCUGUCUACAAAUUAAAGUAGCUUUAUUGUUCCUCUAUUUAGUUAUUUUUCUCAUCCCUGCGAUAGUUGAUCUCUUAAAGCAUCAGGUGUAGUUGACAAAUUCAGACAAAUGCAUGUAUCUUGAAAUGCGGUAGACUCCAGGAAGCAGUAAUUUAUUUCACAUUAAGCAAUAACUCCUUUUUUUCAAACCCCUAAAUUGCUCGCGACGCAAAUCAUCCUCUUCACCCUUCAUAGAGAUCGACCACCAAUUUUGAAUAAUGCCCAUCUAGGCUUACAUCUCCUGCUGCCUGUUUUGUAUUUAAAAAGAAAAGGCAAUGACCAAAUAAAAGAAUAGGAAAGGAAGACUUCUACGAUGAGAUUAGUUUGGCCUUUGCUAUCUCAAACAUACAAAAUAUUAUGGGAGGUGUCAUCAUCUCUUCGCGGUGGCCACUUAUAAUUUCAAUAUAGUCUGAGUGGGGAAAUACCUACUCUAGCUUAAGCAAUUGUCAUGCUAUACCUGAGAGGGGCAUCAUUGUGUGCAGAGACGGAAGGCCGUGAUAUGAGCCGAUUUUUAUCACCAGUUUUUUUUUACUCAUGUUUUACCGGCUUGCCGCUAGAACCAUUAUAAACAAAAUAAGACGCCGUCUACAAAUUAAAGUAGCCUGGCACUGCAAUAAUACUAGCGAUUACGUAAUAAGAUCUCACAUCUGCCGUCCUCUGAAAAAACUAAGGACUUAAUGUGCACCUGUGUUUACAAUGCAGCUAUUCAAAGCAAGUCUGGCACCUGGUAAGCGGCUGAACCGGGGGGCAGGUAUGCACUCCAACUGAUGAAGAUCAGGAACUGCAGGUUUGGUGGACUAAAGCCCUGCAGGCGCUGACCAAGCAACAAAGAAGAUCCAAGGCGGCGAUCAUGACCAUCACAGCGUGGAACGUAUGGAACGAAAGGAACAAAAGAAUCUUCCAGCAACAGACACUACGGCCUGCGCAAAUUCUUCAAAAGAUUCAGAAGGAUAUUGCUACGAGAUGUCGAACAUGUGGGAGCCCAGAAUUGGACGGUGUAUCUUAUUAAGUUCGUUUAGAUGUUCAAGAGUCGAGUUAAUCUUAUUAUCUGUAAUAUCGAACUAUAUGUAACCUUAACUUUCUCUUCUCUUUAAAUGAACUAGCAGGGUCCUGCUUCCUUUUUUUUUAAAAAAACUACGACUUCACGUGGUUCCCGCUAUUGCCGAAAUUGCAACAAAAGAUUCGAAGAAUAUCGAGUCGAAUUUAAAUUUCCGGGUUCCGUAUGAACAGGUAAUAGCUUGCCCUCUGCGUGCAGUUUUCUUUUGUCAUUCCCUCUCGGUACAGUGCAUCAAUAUCACCAAGGACUCCCAUCUAUUUAAGAACAUGAUGAACCCUUGGUCGCCGUAGAUGCUCUGAAGACAUGCCAGCUAGUUGAGGCAACUGAUCCUGGCCAGCUAAGAAAGGGGAAAGCAAAGGAAAGUGCUGCUGCAUAUACGCCAUGGCUUCGUACACCCUCCCUCUUCCCUGGCUUACCUGCCUCUGCGUCGUGGUUGUCGUCUUGUUGCUGUCGCCGGCGGCGCUCCUUGCCGCCGCUGCCGACGACCCGACGGCGGGAUUCAAGGUUGUGAGCCUGAGCGAGAGCAACUUCGUGCUACAGCAGCCGUACGACGUGCCGAGAGACGCGCGGUACAGGUUCGUCGGCGGCGUGCGGCAGCUGUGGGUGCUGUCCUCCGACAAGCCCCACACCCCUCAGAGCAACACCAAACCAAGAACCGAGAUCAGGAUGAAGGUAUGUAAGGUGUUCUCAUGUCCAAUCCUUCUUUCAGAAAAGGGUUGAAACUUAAAAGUACUCGAUCAUCUUUGCCAACAUGUUAUUGGUAAUUAAAUUUUGUUUCUAGGGUUACAACUACUCUUCCGGAGUCUGGCAGUUCGAGGGCUACGGCUACGUUCCCUCCGGCACGACGGGGGUGUCCAUCAUGCAGGUGUUCGGCGGCGGCGAGUCCGCCACCACGCUGAUGCUCCACGUCUACGACGGCGAGCUCCGGUACUACAGCCAGCAGGUGGUCGAGAACAACAUCUACAACCGGUGGUUCCGCCUCAACGUGGUCCACGACGUGGACGCGUCGAGCCUCUCCGUCUUCAUCGACGGCGUGAAGAAGCUGCAGGUACCCGGCCGCGGCGGCGACUCGCACUACUUCAAGUUCGGCGUCUACAUGCAGCACGACGCGUCCAGCUUCAUGGAAUCGCGCUGGAAGAACAUCCGGAUCCUCAAGAAAUGAAGACUGAUCUCGAUUGAUGAUACCUUCUCUCCGUGCCAUCAUUGAUGGCAUGCAGCUUAUAUUGAUUGGGGUGAUUGUUUGCAUGUUCGGUUUAUGCAUUCCAGUAUACUAUCCAUCUAUAUACCGUAUCAUUGUAUGAUUUUGUGUAUCUUAUUGUUCGUAUCAUUACGUGUAAGAAUACGAUGCAUAUGUUAUGUUAUUUGUGUAAUGUAAUAAAUUGUUAAGGCAGUAAAUAUAUAGUCUUGCGGUCCACUAUUUCCGUGUUUCCUGUGGUGAUGAUAAGGCCAGCACAGUUUUAUUGUAUAGUUACCAAGAUUGAAAAAUAAUUAACUGUGCUACUUGAAUUUUAUCGGGAUGAAACUCCUCUCACGUAUAAUGAAACUCCUUCUUCUCCUCAUAAAUACCCAAGUCUGCAAAAUUGGUGACGUGAUAUGAAAAUUAAUAUUCAUAAAACCCUUCAUGAAACUCCAACCGAGACUGGCCUAACAUGUAUAUAUUGAGUUCCACAAUAGAUUCAGAGACACCAUAGUUGACGCUCGACAAAUUCAGAGAAAAGGAUGGACCAUAAAUGGAGAUUGAUAAAAGGCGGUUGAGAAGUCAACGCAUUACAAAACAUAUGGACCAUGAAUACGAUAGUAGCCAUUUAUUCUUAGACUAUUUUUAAUGGAAGUUUCAUUUUCACUAAAUGCAUGCUAUGUCGGUGUUUGUAUGAUGUGGUAAAUAAUUAAUAAAGAAAUAGAUGAAAUAAGUUUCAUUAGAUAAAAUCUAAUGAAAAAACUCAAGCCGUAACAUACUCCAUGUCAAGCCGUUUGCUAUUUUUUUUCAUACAUUGUGGUAAUCCACCCGUUUAAUGUGAUUUCUCCUUUUAAAUUUCUUUAUUAGGAGUUGUUAUGCCUAAAUUUCCACUGGAUUUAUAUGUAUGGGAACUCUCAUCUAUCGAUAGAAAAGAAAUUCCUCACCUCUCUUUUUUUUUACAAAAAGAAAUUUCUUCACCUUAAUCAGAACGGCUGAUUUUCGAUCGAACGGCUGAUUGAAGGGCAUGCCGUAGGUAUUGUGCUUGGGAACCGGAACGGUAGUGGAGUGAAAAGGGGAAGCGAGACCGCCCGCCACAUGCCUCCUCGCCUCCUCCUCCUCCUCCUUCCUCGCGGCGGCCUCCUGCCCCCUCUCCGCCGCCGUUCACCGGCGCUUUCUCCUCUUCUCCGGAGAAUCCCCUUGACUAAGCACCCCGGCGCCUUCUUCCUCUCCCCCGUACGCGCCUUCUCCGGGCACUCCGGCAUGGCGGCGGGUUCGCCGGAGCAGCUGCAGCGGAGCGUGGUGGUGAGGGAGACCGUGGAGCUCACGGAGAAGGAGGAGCAGAUCUUCCGACGGCUUCUCGAGGUCGUCCGCCACUUCGGCCUCGGCACGCAGCUCCGCGUCGCCGGUGGCUGGGUCCGGGACAAGGUAAGCUUUUCGCUCUUGUUUUUCCCCCCUUCCAUCUACAAAAAGCUUUCUCUUUAGCCAUUGGAUGUAUAGUGUCAGAAUGAACUAGAGAAAUUUAAAAUUCAGUUUUUUUUAGGAUGUAAGCUUUGGUUGUAUUUUAGGAUGUGAUUGCUCGCUGUUGACACAAAGGUGGGAUUUUUAAUUGAUAUGUCACAAUUUUUUCUAUUGACAACUUGGCAUUUUAUAAAUUUUUGGGGAGCAAAUUGUUUAAUUCUUAAUAAAAUGAAUCUCAAUAUCCUUUAAGUUGGUUACUCAGGAUUUUCAGGAAAUUGUUUUGUGAUUUAGUAGGUGAUCAUAUGAUUUCUUUUUCUCACAAAUCACCAUAUAGCAAAUACAAGGAUACCAGCAAAGACGGUUUUGGUUCAGGAACGGUUCCUCCUUUCAGUUGGGUAUUACAAGCUUUGCUGUAUUUUGAUACUAUGGUUAUUAUUUUGGAUGGAUGUCCUGUCCUAUAGGUUUUAGGGUUUUAUGUGGGUUUUGGAUAAACUGUUUAGCAAUGUCAUGCACAAAAUUGAAUGCUUAGAGUGGGUUUUUAUUGAAAUUGUUCCACAUCUGUGUGGACAAUUUUGUUCUUUGCCUAUGUUUAGGGUUCAUGGCAGCGAUGUUGGUCACAUUCUUGCCAAUUGCAUAAACAGCUGUGCUGGUUGGGUCAGGGGAUGCCCUGAUCAGCUUAUUUCUUGACCUUGGAUUUUUUGUAGUCUGUAUGCAAUGAAAAUCUAUGUUUUCUACUGUAUUUCACUUGGAAAUUUUGGAUGUAAUGAUGCAGCACCAUGUGGCGUAGGAUAAUUUGUGGAUAAUCCUCAAAAUGACUAGAGAAGUGAAGGUUAAUCAAGAUAUUCUUUUUCAUAUUUUUCUGAUGCUGUGGUUUGUUAAUUCUGUAUAAUAUAUUGGUUUGUUAAUUCUGUAUAAUAUAUAAUAUAAUGAAUCAUUCAUAAUGUUUUGCCCUAAAAUAGCCUCUUGUAGAUUGUUUAAACAUAAAGUGAUUGUUGGCAGUUUAUGAUUUGACUUCUGCCUUGGCAGCUACUAGGGAAAGACUCCGCUGACAUUGACAUUGCCCUUGAUAAUAUGACGGGCCAGAAUUUCUGCGAGAAAGUAAAUGAGUACUUAGAGUUGAUAGGGGAGGAGCAGAAAGGAAUUGGUGUUAUCCAGUGGUAUGUGAUUUUUAUUAUGCUAAUCCGAAUGAGUAACUCAUUACUGUUGUUGCUUACCAUUUUACACUUGUUUAGUCAUAAAGUAACUGCACUGAUUGAUACAUUGUGGCUGUUUGUUUAUCCAUUAGCUUGAAUCAUGAAUUCUAUUUGUGUUCUGCAGCAACCCUGAUCAAUCCAAGCACUUGGAAACUGCUAGGAUGCUUAUACUUGACAUAUGGAUUGAUUUUGUUAACUUGAGAUCUGAAAAGUAUGCUGAAAACAGUCGUAUUCCUACCAUGGUGUGUACUUAUAUCCAUCCUUUCGCAUGGUUAUUUCAGUGACCUCGUUUACAGAGUACAUAUUAUCUCUUUUCAUAUCUGAGUUAUUUGUUACUGAGAGAUUUUGACCACCUGCCUAUAUGCUUAGCUGAACAUUUCCCAUUGUAUGGACAUGUCUCUUUUGGGUGUUUCUUGUAUUGUUGUGAUAGUUUAACAACUAAACCAUAUUUUGGCAGCUCAAUUUGAUUUACGUUUAGUACUCCUUCAUUUUCAGGAGGUUGGUACUGCCGAAGAAGAUGCAUACCGCAGGGACUUAACGAUUAAUAGGUAAUACCUUGAUAUUCCAUUUUCAGAUGGUUUGUUGUAUCUCCAAAAUUUUGCUUCCAUCAUUGCAAGUUUGAUUUUAGUUUGAAAUAAAAAAUUUGAAGGCAAGCCUAUUCUUCACAAUCCUAUAUUUAUUUUUGUUCCUUUUUUUUCUAACUUUGACAGCUUGUUCUUUAAUAUCAACAAUAACUCAGUGGAAGAUUUAACUGGAAGAGGUGAGUUUGCUAGUACUUCUAUUGUACAAGUUCAUAAAUUGAUGUGGCCAUUUUUCAAUGUUCAUGCUGCUAUGUCAUUGUGAAGGUAUUGAGGAUCUCAAAGAGGGCCUUAUUGUUACUCCUUUACCUGCCAAAGCUACCUUCCUUGAUGACCCACUUAGAGUUCUUCGAGCGAUAAGAUUUGGUAAUUUGAAACAUCUCACAGUUAUUCUCUAAGACUUUUCUAUAUUAAAUUUGUUAUACCAAGAAAGUAUUCAUGAUAAAUUUACUUCCUAAUAAGUGGAUAAUGGUGUUACAUGUAUUCAUGUUACUGGAGUAAUUUUAGUUGAAACUCAAGAAAUUCCUUCUAACUGCUUAUGUCAUUUUUCAUCAAGAAAUGAAUACUGUGAAUUAUAAUCGAAGAAUAUAACUGUGAAUUGGAACAUCAUAUUUUCUUUCCACAGGCUAAUGCUUGCUUCUUUCAGCUGCUAGAUUCAACUUUACAUUAGCUGAAGAUUUGAAGGAAGCCGCAUCUGAUGAAAAAGUGAAGUCAGAACUUGGCACAAAGAUUAGCAGAGAACGUAUUGGUCAUGAGGUUGGAUGCCUACACUACUUACCGCUAAUUGCUGUUUGCUCUUUUUUUUACUGCUUUACUGUAUAACCAAGCUUUUAGUCAUUCUUGAUGAACUUAGUAAUGUAGCAUGCAAAACCCUUGGUCAUCAAUUUCUUUCUUUGUAUAUUUGCAGAUUGAUCUCAUGAUGUCAGACAAACACCCUGUUAAAGCAAUGUGUGACAUCCGUGAUUUGGGGCUAUUUUACGUUGUCUUUUCUUUCCCGGUGAACUCCAACCCUCCAGUUUUUGACAAAUGUGAUGGGUAUUGUCCUUGUUCUAACAUCCCGUACCCUUUACAUUUUGGAUUCAGGCAACUGUAUGCAGCACAGUUGUAUUUCAAACUACUGUAGCUGAGAAUUGUGAAAUGUAGAAAACACCAUUGUGCAUGGAUUAGCAUCUCUACAUUAGUUCAAUCUCAUCUCUUUUUCUCCUAUGGGUAUACAGGCAGUGUGUUUCGCAUAUUGAAGCAGCUUGGAAUCUUGCAUCUUCUAUUGGCAGCUCUGUGUUCAGCAAUGGUUCUGACACCAAGUUGCAGGUCAGACAUUUUUAGCAUACUUCUUGAUAAAUGACUAUAUGAACACCCAGAAACUCCCUCCCUCUCGAUCAUGUGACUCUGCUUAAAAUGUUUUACAGAGUGAUACUUUAUAACUCCAAUGCAAAUAGAAAACACAAAUCAAUACUAGCAUCUUGUCGAAUUCCUUGCUACUAAUCAGAUACUUAAGCUAUUUACAGAAAAUGUGCACUGAUUGAACUAUUAAGAGAGGCAUAAAUAAAGCUUUCUGCUGUGAUGAGGUUGUCUCUCCAGUUGAGUCUUACAUAUGAUUAAUGAAUUUCCUAUGUUAGGAAGAUUUACUACAAGCUGCGCACUAUGGCUAGCAGGAAAUUAUUUGAUUAUGAUUUGUUCUCUCUUGGCUUCCCUUAACAUUAAGAUGUGUUAUGGUGUUUAGGAUGAGCAGCGAAGGCUUUGCCUGUAUAGUGCAUUAUUCAUUCCCCUACGAAAUAUGUUCUACUUGGACAAAAGAUCUAAGAAGGUAACCUCUAAGUUCCUGCAUCAUCCAUUUUUAAUGCAAGGCUUUGAAUCUUUGAACUGGCAAAAAAAUUGUGUUUGUGUUCACUAAAAUUAUUCACUUAAAAGCAAGUGUGUUGAUGGGUACAUUUACAUUAUUACUUAAUACUAAUUUGCUAUAUUGACUGGUGAGGCAGGUUUAGUGUGACAUGUAUAUUGCCUUUUUCAGUACACUGAUUGAAGUCAGUCAAAUUUAUUUGCUUACAUUCUAAUUUGUUUGAGAGAGUUUAACUGCUCUGAUAAACAUAGAAGUGGGUGCAUUUACUAGCUCAGUUUGCCGAUAUUGUCACUUUGACCAAACCAGUCACAGUUUUGAUAAUUCUUGCUAAUUGGACUUCAGAUAAAGAGCAUCUGCUAUCUUUUGGAUAUCCAGGUUCAUUUUGAUAAUCUGUCCAAUGCACCUCUUGAAGCAUUAUCACCCCUAUGAUCACUUACCUUCUUGGUGGAAAUUACUGUACGUUGUUACUAGUACCACUGCAUGCUUGCUACCUAGCAUCACUCUCGGGGAAGCUCACAUGCAUAGCUUCUCUCCUGUGGAGGGACAAUUUGUAGUUUUAUUUGGUUUCUGGUGUUCAACAAUCAGAUCUUGAUCAGUAUUUAUGUGGGUAAUUUGACUAGAUAGCAUGUUGCACCGUGAAUAUUUUGGUGCUUGUUAUGGCUGCCAGGAAAUGAGAAAAUAAAUCUGGAAUCAACAAAUGAAGCUGCUGUUAAAUAUCCCCACUUUCCUGUUCAUUGCAUUAUUUCUUUCAACUGUGUACUGAAGAGUCUUUUGCAUCAUCACCAGGUUCCUGUUUGUAGCUAUAUUAUUAAAGAGUCACUAAAGUUGAAAGCUAGCGAUGCUGAAGCGGUAUGUUCUGUUGAGAUGCUCCCAACAUCAUUGUUUGUGAUUCUGGUCAGUCUUGUACUGUGACAGCAAAUUAACUUGUUAUAAUGUUGUGUGAUCUUAAAGGUUGUCAACAUACAUGCUGCUAGUGAAAAGUUUGCUGAGUUAAUUCUUCUCCUUGAGUCAAAUGAUGAUGUGGGAACUCUCAAAGAGAAGUUGGAAGAUGAAUAUCUUGAGAUACCUACAGACAGUUUGAAGCGUGUUUUUGCAGGUCAGUAUUCAGCAUUGCAGUUUUCUAAUUUGUUAGAUCCUCUGUACUGGUUUAUCCUUUUGUAAUUUGUUAGUGUUUGGUGUUUGCUUAAUUUGAUUAUUCAAUAUAGUACUCCGUUUGUUACUGUAUCUGUAGUACCUGAGAUACAUGCAAUCUGAUAUCCUUUGUAUACAUUUAAGUUGUUACAGUUGUGCAAAUUCCCUAAUGAUUUAAUCUGAUCCUUUCAGUGUCAUAAGGCUGAUAUUUGGUUUGUUUUAAGUGACAAUUUUUCGACCAAAGCAUGUGACACUAUCAACAUUUCAGGACUGAUACUCCGAGAAAUAAAGGACUUUUGGCGGGUGGCACUGCUUAUAUCCAUUCUGUCCAACCCAGAAGCUGGAAAUGCUGCUGACAACCGCAACAAGCAGGAUGAGCUGCAUCUGAGGAAAGAGAAAUACAUCAGAGUUGAGCGUGCCAUAACUGACCUAGGUAAAGUAGUAUAUGAUGGUCAUGGAAUUUGCACUUCUCCCAUAACUGCAAGCGUGGAGAUUUACUUGUUCAUAUUAUUGCAUAAUAACCAUCCUGGUUUAUUGUUUCCCUUCUCCAGAUCUCGAUGGGGUGUGGAAGUUGAAGCCGGUACUUGACGGCAAAUCCAUUAUGGGAGUUUUGCAGGUCAAGUCAGGCGGUCCACUGAUAGGAAAAUGGGUACACUAUGACUCCACAUCCUUGCAACUGAUCACACUGAUUCUAGAUUCCAAAACAUGUUGACACUAAUACAUGCUGGUUGUUGCAGCAACAACGUGCAUUGAAGUGGCAGCUUGCGCAUCCGAACGGAACCAUGGAUGAGUGCAUCGAGUGGAUGAAGCAGUCACAGCAAUCGAAACGCCAGAAAGUAGAAACGGACGCCUGAUAGUCGAUGGCAUUUUGAGCAUAGGCCGUAGGCAGUAUUCAGAUAGGUAACAAGCUGCAGCUGCGUCACUUUAGCCGCCGCCUGGAUGGAUUUGGCGUCUUCGUAGGAUAACAAGGUGGAUUUUAUGACUAGUUCGCACAAUGAGUUGUCGAUUAUUUUUGUGAAGUCCAUCCUGUGGACCGGGCCGCCCCGGGUGGGCCAUAAUGGUUGGUCAUGCCGGACCAUUUGGCUAUUAGAGGCAAGUUGAGACAUUAUUAGUUUCUGGAAAUAUGCCGUACACAAGGUAAAAAAAAUUGAUAGCAGGUAGAGCUUCUCCAGCAGUAUUUUUCUUACAGAGAAAAAGAAUGCCUCAGUAGUGUUCCAAUACAUCUCCAUUUUCCUAAUAAUUAUGGAUCAUCUUAAUAAUCCACUCUUAACUCCCUCCAACUCCAAAUAAAGGUGGAGUUCCUACUCGUAGUUCCAAUUAACUGCCUGGGGAUGGGAUCCUCUAAAUAAAUGAGUUAGGCUAAUCCCAGUGCAAGUUUCAUACAUAAUAAAUACGGUGACACAUCAGCAUAUGUAAUGGCAUGACAAGGCAAUUAUAAAGUGAGAGGGGAAGGCAAUUAUAAAGUGAGAGGGGGAAAGAGUUUCAACAGGAUAAAAUUGUGUAUGCACGGUUUUCAAGAUGGAAACAUGUUGAAACUUGCAUUAGGGGCUAUAAAGUUUCAUUUCAUCUGACUAUAUCUAAUCAUAUGCCUCGCAAUUAAAUGGUAUGAGCAUACUAUAAAAUCGUGAAAUGAAACUAUGCAUUUGGGAGCAUUGUUUUAAUGUUUCAUUCAUUAACUCAAACCUCUUUCGAUGACAUAUCACCGGGAUGAAACUCUCCGGGGAAUAGUCUUAUUGCUGCCGGCCGUCGUCAUGCAUCACCUACGUCCGUGUCGGCCCUCGGCAGCUAUUAUUUCAACAACCACGCAAGGCAUCAGGUGAUCAGGAUGGUUGUUUUCCUUUCAGUAUUGGGUUGCAUGCCGUGUACUGACACGGACCGGUCCUCCCUCUUCUCAACAAAUAAAAUCGCGCGUCAUUCCACAUCUAUCUCAUCUGCCGCCAAUGCCGCUGCCUUCUCUCGCCAAUCCUCCUCCUCGUCGUCGUCGUCAGAACAAGAUGGCAGCGGAACGGAAGCGCGUCGACGACGACGCUGCUGCUGCUACCGACGAGUCCUCCUAUAACCAGCUGCCCUUGCUCGCCUUCCACCGUUACAAACAGGACAUGUUCACGUUGAGCGUCGCCGAUCAGAUCCUUCACAAGAACCCCGACCACUACGGGCUACGGCCAUCUAUUUCCCGCCACCCAGCUGUACUGGAGCACCCCGGCCGUAGGGCUGGAUGCUCAUCAUGGAAUACCCGCAACCCCACGCCUCGUCCGCGGCCUACCUCUGGAACCCUAGCACGGGCGACGAGCUUCCCUUGUCCAACAUCCCGGAGAACCGUGAUGGCCUGUGCCCGCUCUGGAGGUGCCUCCUCUCCCACAAGGACCCAGCUCAUCAUCCGGGGUGCGUCGUCGUGCUCCUGUGCUCCGGCGAGACCGCCAUGUGGUACUGCGGCGGCCGGUGGAGGCGCUUCUCAUACGAGAUCACCGGUAACUUGGGUUUACCAAUGAAGAUCGGGAUCUCUGCGGUCGCUUCGUGCCAUGGGAAACUCUAUUUCAUGGCACUCCUGCAGACAACGAUGGUGAUCAGCAUCGUCCUGUGUUCCAAUACUUUGAUGAUGAUGUCCCUGACAUCAAAUUCCCCCAUGGUAUGAACUCGGGGAACUGUUGGUUAGUGGAGUCACACGACCAGCUCUUCCUUGUCUACACGUACGUUCUCCGCGGGUGAUGAUGUUAUUGUUGGCGCCGUCCACGCCUACAGGAUGGAUUUAUUGGAGAUGCUGUGGUUUUCUUGGAAUGUUAUUCGAACUUGGCAGCGGCGAGCCCUCUCGGACUCAAACCAAAUCAUUUAUAGCACUUCAUCAACAACUAUAUAUUACAGGGAUGGUAGUGCUUACUUGCUCACUUUCAACUUAGGAUUAGACAUCGUCCUAGAGAAUACAUGGGUUCCCUGUCACAACACGCUUCACUUCCUCAUGCCUUUUUGGAUUGUGCCUCUAAAGAUUUGUUUUGAAGCAAAUAAAGGUGAUAGAUUGUGAUUGUUUUCUUGAAUAGGCUAUAUAAGUUGUGGUGGAGAUAGGUCCUUUAUUGGCAAAACCUGCCAUCAGUUAAUGGAAUUGAGGUUCCUAAAAAACACAUCGCCACUGCUUUUAUGUUAUGGCAAGAUAUGCAGGUUUAAUUAGGUGCAUCAUGUCGAUCGCAAGCCCACUCUGUCCUCUAAUCCAUCUCUAAAUUUGGCGGUUCAUUUUCUUAGGAAGUAAUAAUUUUCUUAAGGCCAAGCAAUACAUCGAUUCCUUAUUUGUUUGAUUCAUUAUGGUUUGAGACAGGCAUAAUUAUAAGAGGCCAAUUAUCUUAUUCUGUUUUGUGAUUUCGUCGUAAAACAAAACAUUAUUAAUGGUCCAAAUCGAAAUUCUAUAAUCGACACUUUCCCAUCGGUUUAAAUUUUAUCAGAUCCAUCUAAAUUCUAACAGUUUGACACUAAACGUUGUUAGUUUUUCUCAAUUGUUUAACUGGCCUGAUAAAAUGUUAAGCCAAAUCUUCUGAAAUGCACAUAAAGUCAGUAAUCAAUUAGCAAUGAGAAUGAGGGGAAAAGGAGAGAGACGGGAGGGGGGGAAAAAACCUUAUCUGAGGCCCGUGGGCCAUUUGCUUUGCUGCUGCCGGGCUGUGCGCAGAAUUAUACCAGCCCACAGGAAACAAGAAGGAAAACCAAAACCACAAUCCCCACACCCCAUUUCUGUUCGCACGGUUCCGCGACGCCGCAUCCAUGGAGAUGGAUGGGGAGGAUGGCCCCGAUCCCUCGUCAGCUCGGUUCCCGCUCCCUCCCCGUUCCUACCCUGAGGUAACUCCCGCCGCUGGUCUUUCCGUGCCGAUCGAGUUUUUCUUUUCUCCGGUGAGCGGUGACUGUGCGUGGCGCUUGGCCAUCGCUGGUUUAAUUGGGGCUCGCUGACCGUCUCAUUCUCUCCGCCCUGCCGCGCGCAGAUGAUCCUGGAGGCGAUCGACGCGCUGCGCGACGACAACGCCUCCAACGAGUGGGCGAUCUCGGGCUACAUCAGGGGCAGGUACGGCGCCGGCCUGCCGCGCAAGCACUUGUCCGUCGUCCGGUCGCACCUCGCCCGCAUGGUUUGCGCCGGCGAGAUCCUCCUGGACAAGAACAAGAACAACUGCUACCGCCGCCACCCAGAUCCCGCUGACCCUGUGAAGCGGGGGCGCAGACGGCGGCGGCGCAAGCCCAAGGGCCCCGGUUCCGAGGUAAUCAUCGGUGCGAUGGUCACCCCCAGUGAAGCUUUCGUCGUCGGCCCCGUCAAGGUUGGGCGACGCGGAAAGGCGCCUGUCGCCGUGGGCACAAGAAGGACGGUCCCUCUCCCAACUUACCCUGAGGUAACCCUGCGAGUUUUUUCUCUGUCAAUUCCUUCUGUGCCACUACCCGGCCGCAUGCAGUCUUUUAUUAAAUACUCCAUGGCCGUGAUCGAGCAGAUGAUCGUGGACGCGAUCCAGGCGCUGGGCAACGAGAAUGGCUCAGACAGUGCGGCGAUCGCCGGCUACAUCGAGGCCAAGUACGGCGCCAAACUCACGCGCAGGCACAGGCACGCCACGUUCGUCAGCGGGGAACUCUCCCUCAUGAAGGCAACUGGCGAGGUCCUCUCCGUUUCCCCCACCCACUAGUCCCCAAGGCGAGGCAUCCGAAAGCCACGUCUGACGGACUGAAGACUGCACUGAAUUUCUGGAACUGGGACAAAGGGAUUUGUCUCCCCAGUCCCCAUCAGUAUGCAAGAAUGAGAUGUUCUUCCUGUUUAAGCUUGCGUGCUUGUUGUAAGUAAACGAGUGGGGUGUUUGGAUCUUUAGUCCGAACUAAAAUUUAUGUCACAUCGAAUAUUCGGAGGUUAACUAGAAGGAUUAAACAUGAGCUAAUUAUAAAACUAAUUACACAGACGGAGGCUAA